CCUCCCCCUCCUCUUCCUCGCGGCGACCGGAUCCACGGGGGUUCAAACACCACCACCGCCCGGCCCCGGCCCCGAACCGGACCGGCCCGACCCCGAGUCCAAACCGGCCCCGAACACCACGCCCUACGCCGCCGCGUCGCUCCCGUCGCGCGCCACGUGGAGCUGGAUGAACCCUCUGAUCUCCAAGGGCUACCGCGCGCCGCUCAAGCUCGACGACGUCCCCGCGCUCGCCCCGGACCACCGCGCCGAGCGCAUGUACGAGCUCUUCCGGUCGAACUGGCCCGAGCCGGCGGUCCGGUCCGCGCACCCGGUCCGGUCCACCCUGUUCCGGUGCUUCUGGCCGCACUUCCUCCUCAACGCGUCGCUCGCCGUGGUUCGCCUGCUCGUGAUGUACGUCGGCCCCUCCCUGAUCCAGCGAUUCGUGGACUUCACGGAGGGGCCGCGGACGUCGAUGGCGGAGGGCUACUACCUGGUGGCCGUAUUGCUCGCCGCGAAGACGGUGGAGGUGAUGUGCUCGCACCAAUACAAUUUCCACUGCCAGAAGCUGGGGAUGCUGAUCCGGUCGACGCUGAUCACCGCGCUGUACAACAAGGGCCUGCGCCUCUCCUGCUCGGCCCGCCAGGCGCACGGCGUCGGCAUGAUCGUCAACUACAUGGCCGUCGACGCGCAGCAGCUCUCCGACAUGAUGCUCCAGAUACACUACCUCUGGCUCAUGCCACUGCAGGCAUGCAUACAUACACACACACACACACACACACACACUGACACACACAAAAUUUGCAAAUUCUUCACAAUUUUUAUUUUUUUUAUAAAAUAUUCUAGACAGUAAUAAAAGAAAAUUACAUUAUACAUCAUUUACUCUCUGAUGAUUAUUAAUGAUUAAUAACUAACUAUAAUAAUAACAUUUUUAAUUUUUUUUGUUGUUGUUUUGAAUUGAAAGACAAAACACUUUUUUUAUCCACCACUGUUUUGCAUGUCGUAUAUAUCUUUGCCGCUGUACAUGUUGGUUUUUAUGCUUUAUUAUGCUUUUGUAGCUUGUACUCGAGCUGCAGCUGCGGCUUUUUGUCGAUUUCUGAAUCUUCCGCUUCAAUGCAUUUUUUGAAUUUUUCUUUGAAUUUUGAAUUUGUUUCUUUAAUUUAACAUUUGUGUCUAAUUAAACGGCGAUCGAACUUUGUGUUAAUAAACAAAAAAAAAAAAAAAAAAUGUGCCAGGUCGGAGUUGCCCUUGCGCUCCUGUACACGUACCUGGGGCCCCCGGUGACGUCGGCGACCGUCGGCAUCUUCGGGAUCAUGGCGUUCGUCCUCUUCGGCAGCCGGCGCAACAACCGGUUCCAGUUCCAGCUGAUGGGGAUGCGCGACAAGCGGAUGAAGGCCAUGAACGAGAUGCUCAACUACGUGCGCGUCAUCAAGCUGCAGGCGUGGGAGGAGCACUUCGACCGCCGCGUCCGCAGCAUCCGCGACGGCGAGUACGGCUGGCUCGCCCGCUUCAUGUACUCCAUCUCCGGGAACAUCAUCGCCCUCUGGAGCGCCCCCGUCGUCGUCGCCGCGCUCGUCUUCGGCACCUGCGUCGCCGCCGGGGUCACGCUCGACGCGGGCCUCGUCUUCACCGCCACCUCGUUCUUUAAGGUCCUCCAGGAGCCCAUGCGCAACUUCCCGCAGGCCCUCAUCCAGGCCUCGCAGGCCAGUGCCUUGCCUGUACCACCGAUCUUUCAGUCAUAUCAUAUCAUAUUGCAUAUUUGUCUGUCCGUCCGUCCUCUCUUAAAAAAAAAAAAAAUUACGGACGGACUGACAGUUUCUUUUUAAAAGAUAUAGUAGUAAUCUUAUUAAAGUACCACCUCAGAGUAAAAUUCAAUGACAACAAAAUGGGAUGUGCGCCUGCAGGCGAUGAUCUCGCUGGAGAGGAUCGACGCGUACCUCACGAGCGGGGAGCUCGACGAGGCGGCGGUGGAGAGGGUCGAAGGAUGCGGAGACGACGGCAUUGCGGUGGAGGUGCGUGGCGGGGCUUUCGUGUGGGACGACGAGGGGACGGCGGAGAAGGACAAGGAGAAUGACGCAGCCACCGAAGCGGCAGCAGCGGCGGCGGCGGCAGGGGGAUUGAAGGGGAUCGACAUCGAGAUUCGAGCCGGGGCGCUCGCGUCGGUGGUGGGGACCGUCGGAUCGGGGAAGAGCUCCCUGCUCUCCUGCAUCCUCGGCGAGAUGCGCAAGAUCGCGGGAAAGGUACGGGCCCCGCCACUCUUUUAAUUCUUACGCGUUUAGUUCCGCGGACCCGGUACACGCUCCACCUCGUGCACCGCUCUUUAUUAGCGCUUUAUCUUCGUUCGGCCACUUUAAUCCAACGGUUUCGAUUGAAGCAUGUGUAUACAGCUCGUACGGAGCGGUGCACGGGGUAUAAUGGGCGGUGCAUUUUUUUUUUAAUUUUCCGUCAUUUAUUAGCUAUUAUCAGUCAUUUUAAAUUAAUAUAAAAUUUAAAUUAUAAAAUUUUAAAAAAUUUAGAGAGCAAAUUUUAAAUACUAAUAUCUGAUUUAUCUUUCUAGACAUUCUAGGCGAAGGGGUACCGACUUUUAUUUAUUUAAUAAUUUUUUUAAAGAAAAGUAGGUACAGUGCGGGGUGGGUAGGGAUUACGUGGGGAAUUUGAUAACGUUGCACUGGGACACGGUACUCGGCACGUGCGAAUGGUUACUAGGGUUAGGGUGUUGUAACGUGUGCAUGUAGACGAUUCGACACGCCAGUUCGUUACGUGGAGUGAGACUCGGGUUUUUUUUUUUUUUUAAUUAAAUUAGUAUCAAUGAAUUUGUCACUAAUAAUCCGUUUCUACUAUCUACAAUUGUCACCACAAAUACAUUAAUCUAAUCGUGUUUUAACAUCUUCUUCCCGUCAACUAUAAAUUAUUUUGACAAUAUCAACUCUUUUAUAAAUAUAUAUAUAUCUAUAUCUAUGCCCAGCUAUAUUUUUUGAUGUACAGUUAUCUAUAUGCCACUCAAAAUUUUAAAAUAUUUUAUAUAUUCUUAAUUUUUUAUUUCACAUAUACUGCUUGAAUAUUUUUUCGUCAUUACAAUAUAAUUUUGCUGUUAGUAUCCGUUAAAUUAUUCCGAAUUAAACUCGAGUUAAAUUUUAAUAGAAUUAACAAAAAUGAAAUAUCCCUUUUGCCUCUAAUUUAAAGGUAAAUAAGAGAAUUUGAUGACAGCAUAACGGUAUAUUUGAAAGCGCCAAAAAUUAAAAAUCUCUAUCUCUAAUUUAAGAAAAAAUAAUAAAAAUUGCUCACAGUAGAAGAUUGUAUUUGAAAGGUCAAAUAGUAAUUUAACAUAAUCUAAUUUUAGUGGUAUAUUUAAAAGAAUUUAAAAUAUUAAAAAGGUAUUUUUUUAUAUUAGUCUUUUAAGUCGGACAAAUAAAAAGUCUAAAAUUUUUAUCGUUUGAAUCGGGGAUAAGAAAAAAGUGGCUAUUUCAGAAAUAGGUAUGAAUUGAGGUAUAAGCGGGGAUUAGAUCAAUUUUACGUUUAGAUAAAAAUUGGAUUAUUUCUGAGAAUAAAGAAAAAUAGCGUUUGGUUAGGUAAGAUAGAAUAAAAAUUUAAGUGGCUAAUUAUAAAUAAAAAAUAUUGAUAUCAUCCUUUUCUUUAUAUUAAAAUUUAAAUUUUUAUAUUUUAUAUUUAUAUUUUAGAAUUUAAAAUAUAAACUUUUAAAUUUUAAAAUUUUAAAAUCUCAAAUUUACAAUUUUAAAAAUUAAAAUUUUAAAUUUUAAACUUUAAAUUUAAUAUGAAAUUUUAAUUUAAAAAUACAAUAUAUUAAAUUCUAAAUAAAAAAAUUUUAAAAUAUCAAAUUUUAAAAUUUUUAAAUUAAACAAUUUAAAAUUUAAAUUUUUAAUUUUGUAAUUUUAAAAAUUAUAAAUUUUUAUUUUUUAACUUACGAAAUUUAAAUUUUAAAAUAAAUUAAAAACUCUCUCUCUCUUCACAGUAUCCCAGCUUGUUCCAGGGUGGGAACACAGUUCCCACCCCUUAAUGGAUUAUUCUAGAAUAGCCCGUUAAGGUGGGAAUUAGUGUUCCCACCAAAUUUUUUUUUGUGUUUGGAGGAUAAUGAUAGAAUAAACUCUUUAUUCCACCCUUAUCCCCCCAACCAAACAUAGCCUAGGGUAUAUAAAUAACGGCUCAUGUUUGUUUUUAAAGUAUCAAAAAACUCUAUACAAAUUUUUUUUCUCUAUGAAUAAUUUGUUAAAGUAAACCUGCCGUGUAUACAUCCUGUGAGUAACUAUUAACUAGUAUAGAUUUAUAUGUUAAAAGAUGAUUAAAAUUAUUAUUUAAUUUGAUAAAAUUAUUAAUAAUAAUAUUUAGAAAUUUCAAAUAAAAAAAUAAAAAAUGAGGUGCCCAUGUAAAACUGCCUUUUUGGUGAGGGGUCUCAGUACAUUAUUAUCUCUACUUAUUACGGAAUGGUGCGUGCCGGACAGUAUCGAUACGUGUCGAUUACAAAAUAUAUAUAUAUAUAUAUAUAUAUAUAUAUAUAUAUAUAUAUAUAUAUAUAUAUAUGUGUCGAUACAUAAUGAUAUGAAAAAUUUAUGUUUUUUAGCAAUAAUUUUUUCUAGUUACUUAUUAUAAAUUUUUAUCAAAUUUUUUUAAAUUUUUUUGAAAGAAUUUAUUUACUAAUUUAAAAUAAAAAGAAUUUUGAACUGUGCUAUUGGCACGAGAUUGUAUCUUGUCGAUAUCUUAUUGUCACGAUACGGUAUCGAUACGUGCCGAUAACAAAAAAUAUUUAUGUGCCGACACAAAAUGGUAUGAAAAAUUUAUUUUUUUAGCAAUAAAUUUUUCUAGCUACUUAUUAUAAAUUUUUAUCAAUUUUUUUGAAUUUUAUUGAGAAAAUUUACUUACUAUUUAAAGUAAAAAGAAUUUUGAAGUGUGCAAUUGACACGGGACUAUAUAUUUUGUCGAUAUUUUAUUGGCACGAUACGGUACGGUAGAUACGUUCUGUGUGGAUGGAUACACAAAUCUUUGCUAUUAAUAGUGUCCUCGUUGGAUAGAGACGUGUUCUGGCGUUAGCGGUGGCACUUUUGGAGCCACGGGGAAUUUUUGGGUGGGCAUUUACGGGUAAGCGUAGGAGAGUGAGGCAUGGUUCUGGGAACGUGAUGGGUGAGCGAAUUUGUUUGACUUUGCAGUUCGCGGACUUUGACUCGACAUAGACGCUGACAGUGCCGCCGUGCAGUGCAAGAUGCACGUGACGCAAGCGCUGACGCAAUAAAUAAAUUGAUAUUUUAUUAAAUUAAAUUAAAUUAAAUUAAAUUAUGUGUAGGACCACUCGUGUCGGGUCAAACUCAGCUGUCAUCACGUCAUCAAUAAUAAGUCAAUCAUAUUUCUUCUUUCCAAAUAAAAGUGUAAUAAAAAUAUUUUUUGAUAAUUAUGAUGGAAUAUAUAUAUCUCUAAAAAGAAAUAUUUGAUUGGUUUGUUACGCCACAUCACCAAUAUAUUCGUUGCAUUCUAGAAUUUUUCCUCGAAGUAGACCCCACAGGAAAAAAAAAAGAAAAAAAAAACCAGCUUAACUUCUCAGGAAAAGGAAAAUGGGAAGUAAAAGGUGUAGAUAUUUUUUCAAAAUUAUUAGUUAUUAAUAUUAAAAUAUUUAGUUUUAUUUUUUUAAAAGUGAUUAAAGUUACUAAAUUGGAUAAAUUUUGCUGAUAAAUUUUAUUAACAAAAUUUAAAUUUCACAUGAGAAAAAAUUACUUAAUUUCCAAAAUCAAAAAUCAAGGGGUCCUCAGUUAAAAUAAACCUAAAAUAAAUUAAAACCAUAAAUUGAACGUUUUAGUCCCUAAAAAUUUACAUAUAUUUAAAUAUUCUCUUUUUAUUUUUGAAAAAAUUAUAACAGAUUUUAUAAACUAUAAUUCAUUUCCCCGAAAUGUGCAAAUUAGUGAAUUAUUUUAUGCAGUGUUGUAGGUUAAAAAAAAUUUAUUUUGCUACCUUACUAUUUUCAUUGUCAUUAUGUGGGAUACCAAAAUGCUAUAAUUUAUAGAAACAAUUGCUGAAAAAUUUCAGACUUGUAAUAUUAAAAAUACUCUUUUAACAUUCCAAAUUCUUUCAAAUUUAUACCUAGAAUCAGAUUCUGUGAACAACUCGUUAUUUUUGUGAAAUUACUAUUUUGUUCUCUCAAAUAUAUUUUUUUACCGCCACCAACUUUUCUAUUUGUCCUUAAAUAGGGGUAAAAAAAAAUAUUUUGACCUUUUGCCCUUCCAAAUAUACCCUUUUAUCGUCACCAUUUUUUUUUUGUCCUUAGGUGGGACAAAAAGAGAUAUUUUGACUUCUUUUUAACUUGGUAAAAAUUUAUUGGCUUUAAUCCGAAAUGACUUAACGGGUACUAACAAUGGGGUUAUGUUUGAUAUAACCCCAUUGUUAUUAGCCCUUGGAUCUACUCCUUUUUAACUUCUUUUUAACUUCUUUUUAGCUUUAGUGCUUCUAGUUUUCUAGCCCUUAGAUCUACUCCUUGAUUACUAAUAGCCCUUGGAUUAAACACUAUUCCACCUACCACCGUCUACCACCACCUACUACCAUCAUCAUAACCCUACAUCUCUCCAUUCAAGGGCUAAAAACUCAAAAGCACCACCCUCUAUAUAUAUAUAUAUAUAUAUAUAUAUAUAUAUAUAUAUAUAUAUAUAUAUAUAUAUAUAUAUAUAUAUAUAUAUACUUGGCUGAAUACUAUUAAUAGCACAAAUGACUUGGUGCUAUUAAGUUUCUACCCUUGGAUUAAAAGAUGUGUGGUUAGAAUAAUAUGGACCCCUAGGGUUGAGUGGGUGGUUGGUUGAAUAGUAUAAUCGAACUGAUGAAAUGAUAAAAGAUGUAAAUCUAACGGUAGAAACUUGUAGCACAAAAUACUUUGUGCUAUCAAUAGUAUCCCAGCCGGACUCUCUCUCUCUCUCUCUUUCUAUAUAUAUAUAUAUAUAUAUAUAUAUGAGGGGUAUAUUUCAAACCAAAAAAAAAGUAGGAGUAUAUACAAUAUUUCAGAAGUUUUGAGGGGUAUAUAAGGGGUAUAUAAGUUAUUAUCCCUAAUCUAUAAACCCAUAAUAUAAUAAUAAUAUUUAGAGGUUUUUUUUACAUUUCGCCCCCUCAGAAUUUAUUUUUUUUGUAAAUAAUCCCGCAAAGUUUAUAUUUGUAAGAUUAGCUCUAUUCCCGCCACGCAAGCAUCACGUGAGCGUGCUAGGUUGGACCACCGUUAAGUUCGACGCGGUGAAUGGUUCACCAUGUUUAUUAUAUUCUACAGGUGUGUAAAUGUGGUGUAUAAGUAUGUUGUACGUUGAACACGGUGAACCAUUCACCGUGUCCAAAUACGAUGACGGUGAAUGGUUUACCGUGUUCAACUUAAUAAUGGUUCACUGAGCACGCGAGCGCUGCGUGGUGGGGAUAGGACCAAUUUUAUAAAUAUAAAUUUUGUAGAGCUAUUUGCGAAAAAAAAAUAUUUCUAAGGAGGCUAAAUGCAAAAAAAAAAAGAGCCCUAAUAUUUAUUAUUCCUAAAAUAUAGCCUUUGCUACUAUACCUAUAUGUGACGCCCUGGGUGACGCAAUGCAUGCAUGGUUUGAUCAUAUGGUUGAUCUGGAAACGUGGUCCGCAUGGAAAUUCUAUGCGGGGUAUCGUGGGGACCUUCCCUUCUCUGUGCUUUAUUUGUCUCUAUUCUCUUUUAUAACUUAUAUCUAUUUUGCGUAAAAGAAGCUGUUAUUGUGUGGUCAGUUUCAUACGCCCGGGAGAUUAAGGGAGUGUUUGGCCUAACUUUUAAAAAGCGUUUUUAGGUUGAAAAGUGAUUUUCAGCUCAAUAGAGCGUUUGACAACUCACUUUUAAAAUCUGAUUCUGCUUUUUAGAAUCAAAAACAGAAAAAAAACUGCUUCUCGAAAUCUGAUUCUGAUUUUGAAUUUAGCCUUCAAAUUUUUAUUUUUAUUUUAAUUUCAAUAUUUAAAUUUAAAUUUCAUUUAAAUUUUAAUUUUCAGAUUCAUUUAUGAAAUUUUAAAUUUUAACUUUUAAAUUUUAAAUUUUGAAAAAUAGAUUUCAAACUUUAAAUUUUAAAUUUUAAUUUUAAAUUUCAAAUCUCAAAUUUAAAUUUUCAAUUUUCAAAUUUGAAAUUUGAAAUUUGAAAUUUAAAAUUUAAAAUUUGAAAUUUGAAAUUUAAAAUUUAAAAUUUCUUUUAGAUUUCAAGCUUUAAAUUUUAAUUUUUAAUUUUUAAUUUCAUAUUUUAAAUUUCAUAUUUCAAAUUUUAAAUUUGAAAUUUUGAAACGACCCAGCCCACUAGCAACAAUAACUCGUUGGGCCCAACCAUCGGCCCAAAAUGCUUAAGCCCAGUUAUUAUUACUAGUGUCUAAGUCUUUUAUAAACCCAAUGACAUCCGUCAGUCCAAUCACACACAUACAACCCCAUUCCUAUCCGAUGUGGGACUACCAUUCCUAUCCGAUGACAUCCGUCAGUCCAAUCACACACAUACAGCCCAAGAUCACCAGGCGAUGUGAGACUUAUCUCGCUAGCCUAUCAUUCAGACCCUGGCUUAGCCGAGACUCGCCACACAUACAGCCCAAGAUCACCAGGCGAUGUGAGACUUAUCUCGCUAGCCCAUCAUUCAGACGCUAGCUCAGCCGAGACUCGCCACACAUGUCCAGCUGGUGAACCGACUCUAAUACUAUAUGAAACGACCCAGCCCACUAGCAACAAUAACUCGUUGGGGCCAACCAUCGGCCCAAAAUGCUUAAGCCAAGUUACUAUUAUUAGUGUCUAAGUCUCUUAUAAAACCAAUGACAACCCCAUUCCUAUCCGAUGUGGGACUAUUGGAGUGUCACAAAUUUUUUUUAGAUUUUAAAAUUUAAAAUUUUUAAAUUUUAAAUUAUAAUUUUUAAUCUACAAAUUAUAAAUUUCAAAUUUUUAAAAUUUAAAAUUUAAAUUUUUAAAAUUUAAUAUUUAAAUAUUCAAAUUUUAAAUUUCAUAAUUAUUUUAAAUUUUAAAUUUUAAUUUUAAAAUUUUAAUUNAAAUUUUAAAAUUUUAAAUUAUUUUUAAAAUUAAAAUAUCAAAUUUUAAAUUUUGUACAAUUUUGAAAUUUAAAAGUUUUAAUUUUAAUUCAAAUUUAAAUUUAGAUUUUAAAUUAUUUUAAAAUAAAAUUUAAUAAAAAUAUUAAUUUAUGCCAACAUCAAGAAAAAUUUGCCAAACAGUUUUUGAAAAUCACUUCAGAAAAAUCACUUUUAUUUAAACUCCACCAAACGCUCUACAGCUUUUAAUCAAAAUCACUUCUCCAAACCAAAAUCACUUUUUCAGAAAAUCACUUUUUCAGAAGCUAGGCCAAACAGGCCCUAAAUGCACAAUAGGAAGAAUGAAUGAGACUCUAAGGUGAUGUCAGAGAUAGGGAUUGAUUUUCUUUGAUACUAUUUUGCUGAAUACAGAGUUAGAGACAUAUAAAUCUAGUUAAUGAUUGAAAGUAGGGGUGACAAUUCUCAACAGAACACGUAUAAUUCAACAAGGCCCGACACAAAGUUACCAGUUUCGUGUUUAGCUUAAAUAAGUUUGGUGAACAUGCAUAUAUUAUGGGUUGAUCCACUAACUUGUUUGACCCGUUAACACGUUUUUUUUGUUUUUUAAGUAAAAGUUUAUAUAAUCAUGUUAUUAUAUAUAUUAGUUGUAUAUAAUUUAAAGUCUCAAUAGUUUUUAAGCUUUACUUUUAGACUUAGAUCCAUUUAUUAAAGGGGUCAGGGUUUGAGCUGACCUAUAUAUCCUGUAUAUCUUGCUACGACCGUCUACAACACAUUAACAUGAAUUGUUACUCCUUGAAAGGCUGCCCCCCAAAAAGAAAGAAAGAGUUUUGUUAUACCCACGCACAAUUACGUGCGCGUAAAAUCAUAGCCUUCGUGCAGUUCAAGGAGCUGUUGUAAGAUUCACGCUUAUAAGGAUGAAGGGUACGGGUUGCACAUCAUUCUAGCUGACAAGGAACUUUCCAAUUUUUCGUUUACGUAUGAUUCAGGAGGUAUAGCAUUUACAAGGAAAAAAAAUCAAGAGUAAUGCCAUGCUUAGUUGACAAAUUCUGCCAUAGUUUGCUGUCACGCAGAGAUGAAGGCUUCAAUUGGAUACUCGCUGCAACUCAUGAGCAUGGUGGUAUAAUUUGUGGUUAUAAUGAUAAUUAUGAUAACCUAAAAUCACUAAUAAAAAUUUGUCAUAUAAACCAUUUUUUUUUCGAGAGAGAAAGAUAGCGAGCUACCUGCUUCAUUCAUUAAGAGGGAUGAACUAAGCUUACAGGAUGGAUGCAGCCAAGGCAUCGGAGGAAAAGACAAGAAGGACGGUUCACAAGCUGUUAUGCGUGGUACACUUGUCAUAUAAACUAUUGUAGAACUUUUUAAGUGGGCAAAGCAUUUUUCCCAAGAAUCACGGGGCAAAAGUACAGCUAUACCUACUGACACUUUAAGAGACUUGUACAAUAACACUGAUGUGGAAGGUUUUAAUUGGUAGUGUGUGAGAUAGAUAGGGUAUAUGUUUCGAAACCUUUUUUCCCCCUGAUGUCCAUAUAAUCUAGGUAAAUCAACUUAAAGAGUAUUAGUCCCGUAUUAAAUACAAAUUAGAAUCACGGCCUAUAUAUAAUGUGGGGUUUUUCCAUCCAUCAUCUAUCAUCUAUCAUCUUAAUUAAACUCCGGAGCCCGGAUGCAUUUUGUUCUGUGUGAUAAUUCUUAAUUAGACUAUGAUAUAUCCUUGGUGGUGUAUUUAUAUAUAUAUGGUGAUGACAGUUGUCAGAACCCAAAAAAAAAAAAAACAAAAAACAAAACAUUGAAAGGAUAAGUUGGGCAAAUAAAGGUAGUAAUGACAUGGUGAUUAGUGAUUUAGGACAAUGUCAGGAGACAUUAUUGUGUAGGCCAGGUUUUCCAACCUGUAGGAUAUCUAUCCAAUCAAAACUUGACACAUUGUUCAUAAAUUGAAAGGCUAUCUUUAAAUUUUACUAUUGUUUUCUCCAAUUAGAGUCAAAUGGAUGUUGCAUUGGGAAUAGCCUAGUUAUUAAACUCUGUGAAUAUGGUGGACAGUUGAACAAGGUUUAGCAGGGAGAUGCAUUUUAGAUGGGUUUGUUAAAUUGGCAAUUGUUUAUGUUGAUACUUUUUUGAGAGGAAGAUACCAAGCUACCUGUUUCAUUCAUCUGGUAAGUGAACUUGGCUAGAACAGUAAGGCAACAAGGCCUCAGGGAAGCAAAAACAGAUGCUAAUGUAGCAAGUUUGGCGGCGUUUAGCGAUGUAGGUUGGGAGUUUUACGGAGAUGAAUACCAAUCGAGGCUCUUUGUUUACUUAGAUACUAGAACUAAACCAGAGUUAGCAUAAGAAAAACAUCCAUGCAGGGAAAUUCUCUCGAUAUAUACUUCGAAUAGCAGGAUAGUUGUUGAAAAUUUAAUAUGAAGAUUAAAAAGGCAUGUAGAAGUUAUGGAUAUCUUCAUAGAUUUUGAAUUUCUAGUAGUUCAUUUAAAUUUUCUCUUUCUUUGGCUUUCUUUUCUUGUAGUAAGAAAAAACUUGUGUAAUUCCAUACCUUGAUUUUACCGUAUAUUAUCAAAAAUAAUACUGUACUGCUAUUUGAUUUCUACUUCUCUUUUCUGCGGAGCACAAUGGAGCUGACCAGGGCAAAUAAUGGCAUGAAAUCUAUUACUUUUUAUGUUUUUCUCCAAUUCCCUUGUCUGUUGAGUAGGAGCUGUCAAUCUGAGACAAUGUGAUCUGGGCCAUGUUAGGUACCGUCAUGUUUAAGUCCACUUAUUGUGUUUAACGGCUUAUUUGGAUGAUCAUCCAGAGAGCUGUAGACUUAUUAUUUGUCAUAAUCAAAUCAGUUUAUCAUUGUAAUCCGCUCGACAUACUUAAAACUAAAUCGAAUCUCAUAUAUAUGAUUUUUUUUAAAGAAAAAAAUUUCUCACGUAUUUUUAGGUUUGUAGGAGAUACAAGGUUGGUCCUUGAGUGCUUAGCUGUAAUUCUUUUUUCUUUUUUUUUUACUUUUAGUUAGUUUUGUAGUUUUUUUUUUUCGAUACAAAUUUAAUCUCGUAUUUGGUGAACCAUUUGAAUAGAUAGGCUCUUUUAAGUAAGAGCUGUUCUAGUAGAUAGUGAUGCAUGGAAUUGCCAAUUUAAUUAAUCCUAAUCCAACUGAAUCUUUUUGAUAUUCCUUCCUCACUAGCUUAUCAUGAUUUAGACUUUUUUGUCAUAAUGCUCUUAGGAGUUUUUUUGUUUUUUUUUUUUUAUUGUCCUUUCCUUGUGAGCUUGUCUUUUUCGUUAAUAACUCAAAUGUAUGAUUCUUUUUUGUUUGUGUUUUGCAUUAUUGGUGAGUUUUUGUAUGUUUUCUCAAGCUAUUUUGGUACUUUUCCCAUGAUUUUUUAAAGCAAAUCCAGCAGCAGUUCUUUUCGGAAUUUCUCUAAUUUUUUUAAAAAAAUUAUGGUGUGACAGGUUAGGAUUUGCGGGAGCACAGCCUACGUGGCGCAAACAGCAUGGAUCCAAAAUGGAACCAUCCAAGACAACAUCUUGUUCGGGAAGCCGAUGAACCAAGAAAGGUACAAGGAAGUCAUCCGUGUUUGUUGCUUGGAGAAGGACUUGGAGAUGAUGGAGUUUGGAGAUCAGACAGAGAUAGGGGAGAGAGGGAUCAACCUUAGUGGCGGCCAGAAGCAGCGUAUACAGCUCGCAAGGGCUGUCUAUCAGGACUGUGACAUUUACCUUCUUGAUGAUGUCUUUAGUGCCGUCGACGCUCACACGGGUUCAGAGAUCUUUAAGGUAAAUAUACUCUCCCGUAUGAAAAUCGUUUAGGGUGUAUUUGGUUGCUUGUAAAAGCACCCCGGAAAAUUUUUUUUCCGUUGAAAAGUGAGAUUCGGAUGUUUGGUUGUUAGUAAAAAAAUUUUACCGGAAAAUCUUUUUUACGGAUUGCGAGAAAAAUAGGGGUUUUCGUUUUCCACUCAAUUCGAGCAGAAAACAAAAAAGCGUGGCAUUGGGCAUGCCGCACGGGGAAGAAAAGCGCGCGGUCCAUGAGGUCGAGCAGACAUUGUGGACCGCACAAGAGAGGUCCAGGUCGAGCGGACCUUGUGGACCGCGCAAGAGAGGUCCAUGGACCUCUCUCUCUCUCCACCUCUUUUAUAUAUAUAUAUAUUAUUUUUAAUAUAAAUAUACAAUUAUAUAUAAUAUUUUAUUUGUAAAUAUUAUUUAUUAAAUAUGUAGUAAUUUAUUUUAUAGUAUUAAAUAUAUGUACUAUUAUAUAUUAUAUUAUAUACUUAUUGUAUAAUAUAUUUUAAAUAUAUUUUAUUUAUAAAUAUUAAACUAUAAUAUUAAUAUAUAUAAUAUAUUAAUUAUUAUAUAUUAAAAAUAUAUAAUAUAUAAAAUAAAAAAAUAUAUAUAAUAGUUUUUUAUUUAUAUAUAUUUUUUUCUUUUCCUUUCAACCAAACAACCGUAACAGAAAACUAUUUUUUUUUCCUACAAACCAAACGCUAAAGAGCGUAAAAUUUAUUUUCCUCCGAAAACUUUUUUUCCAUCGAAAAUUUUUUUUCCGCAGUUUUACGAGGAACCAAACAGCCCUUUACUGAAAUGAUCUGGUGAAAAAAGUAUUUGCAUCCCUUGCAGGGAGAAGGGGGCAGUUUUUGCAAAUAAUUUUUAUGCUAGUUACUUUUUUAACACUAUUUUUUUAGGCAAAUUGCUAUUUUAACAGAGUCGAUUUUAAGUUAUAACAGUAUAAUCGCCAAGAGGUUCUUCAGUAUUUCAUCAAAAUGGAAAAUUCAAUGAACACUUGUUUACUGUAGAGUGUAGAUAAUUAAGUUCUACUACUCGAUGCUUUUGCAUGAAGGGGUUGAAUUCAAAGCUUGUUUCUUUGCUGAAUGUAUUUUUCCCUUAAUUGUUGUCCUUCAUGAUGUGCGCUUUUUGGUAUGAAAAAUUCUCGUAAGUUGGGAAAUUUGGCCUUUAGAUGAUUAGAUCUGUAAUUCCUGCUGCCAAUCAUUCCUCUUUGCACUCUUUAACCAUUUUACAGCUGAGGAACUUCUUUAUUCUGACUGUAUUAUUUAGAAUUCCCACAACAAUGGUUAUUAAGUAUUACACUAUUUUACUCUAAUUUCCUGUAUGCCUUCGAUUACCAUCAUUAACUUUGUCAGAGAUCAAACUGAUUUGAAGACUCAAGCGUGAAUAUCUGAUUUAAUAGAGAUGAAACUCGCUAACUAGUACGAAAUAAAACAGCGAUGUCAUCUUUUUAGUGUUCAGAUCGCAAAUCAAUCUUUAUUUCUUUUUUCUCUCUGUUUUGCAGGAAUGCAUAAAGGGUGCACUCAGAGAGAAGACUGUUAUCCUUGUAACACAUCAAGUCGACUUCCUGCACAAUGUUGAUGCUAUAUUUGUAAGUGCCAUUUUUCUAAUCUUGUAGACUUUAAGGGUUGAUCGCAUACAGGUCCUCACAAACAUAGUGAAUUACAAAUAUAUCUCUGUAAAGUUCAACUUUCAUAAGUUAUCCCUACAAAAGUCCUAAUGUUUUCAGAUAUGUCCCUCUAGUUUGUUACCGUUAGAGAAUCGUUAGAAAACUGUUUAUAUUUCCAAUCUUGCCAGCACAAAUAUGUCCCUCCAAAAGUUAUAACAGUAUAAUAUAAGAGGGGUAAAAAUGUCAAAAAUUAACCCGGGUAAAGUAUUUAACCUAUGGUUAACUAAACUUUUCUAACUAAUUCUAACAGCGGGGACAUAUCUGAAAACAUUAGAACUUUUGCAAGGAUAACUUAUGAAAGUUGAACUUUAUAGGGAUAUAUCUGUAAUUCACUAUGUUUGCGGGAACCUGUAUGCAAUUGACCCUAACUUUAAAUAAUUUAUUAUCUAGGGAUAGAGCUACAGUAGGACCAUGGGAACCAUACUAACCGGACUUUGCUAAAAAUUUAAGAAACCCUUAUGUAUGCACCUCAGUGGGUUUUUCGCUAAAUAACUUAUUAUUAAGGCCUUUCAGAAAUAUGAAUCUCUACUCCCAUUUUUUCUCCUUUUGUGUUCCAGUCUAUACGAGAGUAGCCGAGGCAAUUUCAAUGUUAUAUUUUGUAACUUUUAGCAUAUUCUGUGAUGUGCUGAAAUUGUGUGCUGCAUGUUUUUAAUCCUCUGACACAUACUUACAGUCAAGCAUUACCUUUUUGUUUUCUAUUUUUAUUUUCGAAAAUUUUAUCAUAUAUUCCUAAAAGAAGAACGUAUUUAUAUAUAUGUACACGUUGCAAAUGUUAAUUUAUCCUUUAUAUUCCUCCAAACUUCAAACACUUGCACAUAUAUAUACCUGUGGUUUGAUCGUUGUCAUUUCGCUAUAAAUAUUUUACCUUUUCCUAAUCGAAUGAUCAUUUUGUUCUUGCUAGUAUCUCCCUCUAAAAUAUUUGGAGAAUAAUUGUUUUUUCUCUAAACAUUUUUUUCUCUAUCUCCUGCACUGACUCAUCUCAACCAUAUUCAUUAAACAUUUCUUUCUAUUUUCUCAAAUUCAAUUUACAAUAUUCUACAGAGAUAUAUUUAGCAACAUAUAAUAGUCAUUGAGAUAUAAAAUAUUAUGUUUUUAACCGUCAAUUGGCAAUAGUGUAUAUUUACAAAUUUUUGUUGUUUAGAGGGAUAUGAAUUAAUUGCAGUUUGCCAAUUAUUUGAAAAUUUUUCUAUGUUGUUAUUUGUUUCUCAUUAACAUAUUUGGUAUCAUAUAUUUUAUUAUGAUAUAUUUUGGUCACCCCCAUUUGAAUCCUGGCUUAGUCCCUAGAUUAAACCGAGUUUGGCUUAAUCACAAAAUGUCCAGUGGGUGUUUGGCUUAGCUUCCGAAAAGUGAUUUUGGGGCCAAAAGUGAUGUUCGGCUCAAUAGAGCGUUUGGCAAUCUUGUUUUCAAAUUUUGAUUCUAAUUUUUAGAAUCAUUUUUCUGAUUUUUGAGGCCAAAUCAGAAACACCUGCUUCUUAAAAACUCGACUCAAACUUCAAAUUUUGAUUUUAUGUUCAAAUUUUAAUUUUAAAAUCAAAUUUUAAUUUUAAAUUUUAAAUUUAUAUUUGAAUUCUUAAAUUUCAAAUUUUAACUUUUAAAUUUCAAAUUUUAAAUUUUAAAAUUUAUAUAUAACUUUCAAUUUGAAAUUUUAUUUAAAAUACAAAUUUUAUUUUAAUAAAAUUUAGUAAAAAAAUUAUUAUAUUCCGACAUCAAAAAAAAAAAAAAAAUUUGUCCAACAACUUUACAAAAUUACUUCAAAAAUUUUAUCUAAACUCAGAAAUAAAAACGCUCUAUAGUUUUUAACCAAAAUCAAUUCUUCAAAUCAAAAUCAAUUCUGCAGAAAUCACUUUUCCAAAAUUUAGGCCAAACAGGCUAUUAUCUCGUCCUUUUUAUUAGUUCUUUUAUUCUCGUUAAUUUGCACUACUUUGAGAAUUGUUAAUGUGGUAAAUUUGGAGUAUAAAUAACCGGAUAUAUUGUUCUUCAUUUACGCUCCAUUCUUGUCUUUCGAAUGCUGAAUUUCAUUAGAGCUAGGCCUGUAAAAGAAUUCCAAGUGAUCUCAAACAUUUUCUUCCGUUCUUUAGUUAUCUUCAAAAUGUAGCAAACAUAUGCUGUUUAGAACAAAACUGAUUGUUUAAUUUUACGCAGGUAAUGAGAGAUGGGAUGAUUGUACAGUCAGGGAAGUAUAACGAGUUACUACAAGCCGGUUCGGACUUUGCUUCUCUUGUCGCAGCUCACGAUAGUUCAAUGGAGCUUGUAGAGCACACGGGUGCAGUAGGACAUGACGCCACCCCAGAACAUACAGAAUCAAAGCGUCCCACCACGAAUAACAUGAAAUCUAGCGGCGAGACCUCUUCACCAAUCUCACCAAAGAAAGAGAAAGCCAGUUCCAAGCUCAUUAAGGAGGAGGAGAGAGAGUCUGGGCAUGUAAGCUGGCGCAUAUACAAGAUGUAUAUCACCGAGGCGUGGGGUUGGUGGGGAGUCAUCGUGGUGUUCGUUAUGUCCUUAGUGUGGCAGUGUUCACUAAUGGCGAGUGACUAUUGGUUGGCUUUUGAAACAUCGGAGGAUAAUGCAGCUUCUUUUCGUCCGUCCUUGUUUAUCGAGGUUUAUGCUGGUAUAGCAGUGAUUUCUGUUAUCCUUGUCGCACUGAGGGCUUUUCUUGUAGCAUAUUUGGGGCUUGAAACUGCUCAGAUAUUCUUCAAGCAAUUCUUGAACAGUAUACUGCAUGCUCCGAUGUCAUUUUUUGAUACUACUCCAUCUGGAAGAAUCCUCAGUCGGGUAAUUCUCGUUUUCAUGUGGCCUUUUGUUAUGCGUUAUUUACAAAUUUUAUCUAGUCCUUAACAGUUCGACCUGAGUUUGAUUAUAUCCGGGGGCUCUCGAUUUUCAACUGAGUUCUGUGCAACAAUUAACUGAUAAAGUUCCUGCUUAGUAUACUGUCUAAAUGAAAGCCAUUCUCUGGGGAGAACCUCACCGAAAUGCGUCACCAUGAUGCCAUUGCGUCAUCUUGAAAUUUGGGGAUUAAAUUGUUAUAAUUGAAGCUUUAAGGGCACAAUUCAAAUAAGGGCCAAACUUCAGGGAGUAACUUUUGUAUUAACCCUUUGAUCAUUCUUUAAAAGUUGCUUUAACUAUGCCCUGGAAUUAAUGCUGAAUUUUCUAUUCAGAAACUUGACAUAGGAAUUAAAAUUCAUAUACUGCAAAUUGAUGCUAAUAAUAAUAACAUAUUUUCAGUUCUACUGCCUUAGUAUUGUUAAUUAGAUGUGCAAUCUAGUGUUAUAUGCAUCUCUAACUUUUUCAUUAUGCUCUUUCUUUCAGGCAUCAUCGGACCAAACAAACGUUGAUCUUUUCCUUCCCUUCUUUGUGGGAUUGACUGUCGCUAUGUAUAUUACUCUGUUAAGUGUCAUCAUAGUCACAUGUCAGGUCGCCUGGCCAUCAGUGAUAGCGAUAAUUCCACUAGUGGUCUUGAACAUCUGGUACAGGGUAUGCUUGAUUCGCCAAAAACCAUAAUGGAUGAUUCUGGUUUUAUGUAGGAAGUUUAUUUUCUUUUGUUUUUAACAAGUUUGUUUCAUAUCAAUACAUUUCUGAAAAUACUUUGACAUUUAUCUCUCAAAAAAAAAUACUUUGACAUUUGUCAGUAUUUCGAGAAAUUGAUAGGCAUAGGAGUGUGGAUAAUAGGCCUUUUCUACCCAAAAAAUUCUCCUUAAUAUGAAUUCGCGGUAAUGCUUCCUUUUUUAUUAUUAUUCGGGCCAAACUAUUGCUCCACUUCAAAACUGUGAUGGACUAUCCAUAUUUUGAAGGGAAAACUUCAAAUACCACCCAUGUGGUUUCGCACUUUAUCACUUUAGUACCAUGUGGUUUAAAAGGUAUCACUUUCAUACCCUGUGGUUUUAUUUUUCUCUUUUUGUUAUCCCCUCCACUAAUUUUUUUCAUUAAUUAGUAACAAAGUUAAAACUAAAGGGUAUUAAAGUGAAUAUUCGAUAAACUAUAGGUGGGUAUCUAAUGUUUUUUGUAUAUGAUAUAACGAAAAGUUAACGGUGGGGCUGACGAAGAAAGAAAAAUGAAACCACAGGACACUAAACUGAUACACUUUAAACCACAGGGUGCUAAAGUGAGAAAGUGCGAAACCAUAGGGAUGGUAUUUGAAGUUUACCCUAUUUCGAACUACAACCUCAUGCCUUUUAAACUAUGGAUCAAUCAUUUAGACCUAUGCAUAAAAAGUAUCUUGGAUCCUGCAAAAAUUUAAAAAAUGGUUUUUUUGGGGUGCGAAAAGGCCCAGAUAAAAGAUCUUGAAGGAACAGAAUUUUCCGUAUAAGAUACUAACUGAAAACUUUCUUUCUUGUAGGGUUAUUAUCUUUCGACAUCUCGAGAGCUGACGCGUCUUGAAUCAAUCACGAAAGCACCUGUUAUUCAUCACUUCUCAGAGACCAUUCUCGGCGUUACGACCAUUAGGUGCUUCAGAAAGGAAGAAAGCUUUUUUAAGGAAAAUUUAGAGAGAGUGAAUUCGAGCUUACGAAUGGACUUUCACAAUAACGGUGCUAACGAGUGGCUGGGGUUCCGGUUAGAGCUGAUUGGAAGCUUUGUCCUCUGCAUUAGUGCUUUGCUCAUGGUCACUUUGCCAACCAGUAUUGUGAAACCAGGUACAUGGUUGAGUUACAAAUAAUAUUUUACUUCCGAAUUUCUAUAGAAACUAUGUCAUGCUGCUUUAGAUCAACAAUAUUUGUUCCAUUAUGAAUACAUUUUGGGCAAACCUAGUAGAAAUUUUUGGUCGGUAAUUUCAACAAAAUCCAAGAAUUAAUGGCUGUAUUGUUCAUUUAAAAUGCAAAUAAAUUAGACCUUUUAAUAAUUUCUUUGAACUAAUGAGUGCAUUUUGUAUCUAAUUGUCAAAAUUAACGCCUUACAAUUUGGAUUCUUUAAUGAUAAUUUCUUUCAAGUUUUGGGGGUGCCAUAUUGACUGUUGCACUUUUUGAUGCAGAAUUUGUUGGUUUGUCUCUUUCUUAUGGUCUCUCUCUCAACGCUGUCGUGUUUUGGGCGAUUUGGGUCAGCUGCUUUAUUGAGAAUAGGAUGGUCUCAGUGGAGAGGAUAAAGCAGUUCACCAACAUUCCCUUUGAGGCACCGUGGAGAAUCAAAGAUUGCCUCCCCUCGCCAAAUUGGCCCACCAAAGGAGAUAUUGAUAUCAAGGAUCUAAAGGUAAUUGAUUCAUGCCAAUAUUCUUGUAUAUGCAAAACUUCUUUUGUAACUUAUAAAUUUUGUUAGGAUAAUCGAGAAUCCACUCUAAUAUACUAGUGAUGCUAAUGAAGAACCUAAACGAAGCAGUUCGUCUUGGUCACAUUUGGCACUGUUUUACAAACUUUGCGCGGUUGAAUGUGCUGUCAGAUCAAGGAGACUUAUGCUGUGGGAUAUACAUCCCUCAAAAAUGCAAUUCCUUACAACAAUACCCUUAAAGUUGGGAAGUAGUUUCUUUCAUCGCAGGAGUUGAUUUUGUAUCAGGAAGUAAUUUUUUUGAUUUGUGAGUUGUAAGUGCAAUAAGAAAUUCAGACUUUUCAGGGAUCUAUCUACCUGUGUAGUAAAAGGAAAAUAUAUUAUGUACAUAAAUAGUUUUAAUCCGUGUCACUUUAGUUAACAUAGGUCUUAAACUAUGUUAAUUUGUGUCUUGGGCUCUUAGCUUGCUUUGACUACUAACUUUGAACUAUCAUUACUAUGUCUAUACAUGCAGGUUCGAUAUAGGCCCAAUACUCCUCUGGUUCUUAAUGGCAUUACAAUAAGCAUUCACGGAGGAGAGAAGAUAGGAGUUGUGGGUCGUACAGGCAGCGGAAAGUCGACAUUAAUACAAGCUUUGUUCAGAUUAGUGGAACCUUGUGGGGGCAAUAUCAUUAUUGACGGAGUAGACAUUUGCACAUUAGGCCUUCAUGAUCUGAGGUCUCGCUUCGGUAUAAUUCCUCAGGAACCUGUUCUCUUUGAAGGAACUAUAAGGAGCAAUAUUGAUCCGAUUGGACAAUAUUCAGACGAUGAGAUAUGGCAGGUACAUCUUUUUUCUUAUCUCUCUCUCUCUCUCUCUCUCUCUCUCUCUCAGAGUUUUUGCAGAAAUGUUGUUUGAGUAGAGCUAUUCUUAAAAAGGGUCGUAGCUAACUGAUUAAAAUCACCCAACCACUUACUGCUGCAGAAAAAGCAAAAGCUUCCACUUGGAGCUUCUGCUUUUGGGGCCAAGUAACUUAUUUGAACUUCCUGCUCCAGCUAAAAUUCUAGAUUUUCUUUUUCCCAAAUCUGGCUACUGCUUUAUGGAGUAGAGGAACUCUUCUAGGAGGCACAGCAAACAGGAAUUCAGUUGGACAAAUGGCUUGAGACUAUUGAAACCUAGACUAGUUUUAAUUUAUUAGUGGAACUAAUCAGCAUAGUAAUCCGCUUUCAUUCGAUAGAGAUUAGUGUUGCCAAUCAUAUUUGUAGAUGUAAAAUGCUUAGAAACCUCUUCUUUUUUCUAUACUCUAGAUGACCUAAUGAUUAUAUUUUUGGAUAUUACGCCUUAGGAAAUAUGGAAACUUCUUAGUAUCUUGAUUUUGAAUUUGUAUGCCCUAAACAGCUCAAGUUCAUCUUCCUUUUUUUUUUUUUUUCUCUCGUCCCCAUACUGUAUACUUAGAGAGUCCUUUAAAGCACAUAAUAUUCUGGAUUCUUUAGAUCUACAUAGUGUACUUACAGCUACUCUUCAGGAAAUUGAUGUUUAUCUUUCAAUUUGGCCUCUUUGCAGGCACUGGAACGCUGUCAGCUUAAAGAUGCAGUAGCUUCUAAACCUGAAAAGCUUGAUGCAUUGGGUAUUCUAUUCUUUCGCUUGUUUUCCGCUAAAUAUUAGAUAUAUUUUUCAUAAUGAACUAAAUAUUCUUCACUUGUCUUAUAGUCUUCUUUUUGAUGCUGAAGUUUUCGUCUCCUUUUGUGAAUUUUAUCCUACGAUUCAGAAACAAUAAUAAGAAUAGGAUAUACAGUUUAUGUCUUAUCAAUUCUCGAACUUUGCUCUCUUCUAGUUAUAUUUGAUUAUUUUCCACAACUUUUACCGAUAAUCAUGAAAUCGCAUCCACUUUGCAAAUUUCAUAUUGUUGAUUUGAAAAUUCUCUUCAAGUAUCUGAAUACCUUGAUGAUUAAAUCAUGUUAGCAAGGGAAAACUCAACUGAACCAGCUUUUGCUUCGAAUAACACAAUUUAGGUCAAUCGCCUUUAUUCAUAACAGACUUGCCAAAACAUCUUUAUGCAUAUUAAAGGCUAGACGUUCAUAAUGGUAGAAACGAAUCAUAAAAACCUACUGACGUUUUUCUUCUUCAUGUUUUACUUAAAAUUGACAAAGUUAUACGCAUCAAAUUAUUUUUUUCAAGUUAACGUCUUUCUAAUAACUUGCAUAUUUUGUGUUCUUUUGUACUGCGAAUUUUCAGUUGUUGAUAAUGGAGAGAACUGGAGUGUGGGGCAGCGACAACUCAUCUGUUUGGGCCGGGUGAUCUUGAAGCGUAGUCGGAUACUGUUUAUGGACGAGGCGACUGCCUCAGUGGAUUCGCAAACCGAUGCUGUGAUUCAAAAAAUCAUCAGAGAAGAUUUCUCGGCUUGCACGAUCAUUAGCAUUGCUCACAGAAUACCCACAGUUAUGGAUUGCGACCGAGUUUUGGUUAUUGAUGCAGGUAAUUUUGUCUAUUUCACUUUUCUAACGAUAAAGUGCAGGGAAUCCCCUUACAAACUUCACAAUUCUCACAUCACCUCCUGGGGAAGUAAUGAAAUGUUGGAAGUAUAUAUGGAGGGGUCAUAUAUAAACUAAAAACAUCAGAUAUGUAGGGGAAAUGAAAAAUGGAUCUAAAUAUCUCCUGUUUUUUGGGUCCGUCUGUGAAAUGAGAUUGGAUUUAGCAAAAAUACAGAAAGUCACUUUCUGGUUUGUGUUGUAUUCUUAGGUAUCUAAUUCUUCGAAUUUUCCUUACCAGGGCUAGCAAAGGAAUUCGACAAACCAUCGAAUCUGAUCGAGCGCCCGUCUCUCUUCGGCGCGCUGGUUCAAGAGUAUGCCAACCGAUCUUCUGACUUAUAGAGUAAUUUCCUGAUGCCGAAAUUUUUGCCUCUCCAAACUUCACGAAUCCGACCCGGUUGCCUCGGCAUGAGAUUCUCAAGACUACUAAGCUCCAUUUAUAAGCAGAAUACGAUGUACUCGAGCCGUAUGUGGUUGUGGAGCAAAUCGCAAUAAGUGUUUCGGAGACAUCGACACAAUAAGGCAGGACAGAUAAAUUAUAAUCGACGAACACACUUUCCAUGAAGUAAUUAUCCUCUUAAAUAUUUGUAUUGUUAGCGACAAUAUCACGUUGAAGAAUUACGAUGAAAGUAUCAAUGCAUAGAAGGUUUAGUUGCUUGUAAGCUCAUGUAUUGAGUGGAAAAUUCUGCAUAGAAGAUUUAGUUGCUUGUAAGCUCAUGUAUUGUGGAAAAUUCACUGCAAAAUAUACUUCUUUGAUACUAGUGGAUCUCCCAAAAUCCAGCAGAAUAUCAAGAAAAAUCUUGAUCUACUGUGAUCUUCUCCUUUUUUUACUUUUUUUUUUUUUCUUUUUUUUUUGUGAGCUAUCUGAAUAGAUUGGAUUUGCAUUCUGAGACAUGUUUUUUGUUGAAUAAGUUGGAUGUGCGUGUUUGAUGUGAUGAUCAAAUCUUAUUGCAGAUCACUGGUCAGAGCAAAUCAAAACAUCACAGCUAAAACAAUUCGCCGUCUUGGCAUUGCGCACCGAGUUAGAUUUAAAGAAUGUGUUUUCCUUGAAUGAUAAACUCAUUGGUCACAUUCGUUAGAUCGAUCGUCGCACGAUGAAAUUACACAACAAAUUUGUUGGCAAUUGCAUUUCUGAGAUGUAUCUAUUUUGUCUCUCGGAGGAGUACCGAAGCAUUGGAUUGCUUUAGGCAGUAUAUUUGUUGCAUUAUGGAGGUGAAAAAUAUUGAUGGUAAUUUCACAACCCAUAUUCUAUAAGUAUUCAAUGAAAAACUAAACACAAGAACAAUAAUCACGAGAAUACCCGAGACUCAAGUUCGAAUCCUAGUUGAUUCAUAUUUCUAGCUAAGUUUAUUUCUAAAUAAAAUAAACGAAGCAGGUGGCGUGCUACCUAUCUCUCAAAAAAAAUAAUCACAAGAAUACGAGAAUUAACAAAAUAAAGUAAAACACAAGGCUAUGAACGGUUGAUGUAGGAUGACAGUGGUCGACCGUUCAUAGCCUAUGAACGGUCGUUGAUGUAGGAUGACAUUGGUCGACCGUUUGUAUCACGACCCAAACCAGCUCCUCGAUCUAUUCAAGUCAUGACUCAUGACCACUGCACCUCCAUAAGAUUCAAAUCACAAAUUUAAUUUGAAUCCGAUGAAAACACAAGGCUCUCUCUCAACAACAACAAAAAGAGAGAAAACCACCUAGGCAACAGUAAAUCCUCGCUAUCUAAGCUAGCGAUUCCCUUGCCGCGAUCCCGUGCCUCCGCCGAUGCAGAGAGCUCUGAAAGAAAAACCAUAAAACAGGGGGCGUAAGAACUAUUAAAUAAUAGUUCCUAGUGAGCAAUUACUGACUUCAGUGAAAGCACCACUAGGCCCAAAAGAGCUAAACAGGUAAGUAACAAUAAAAGCAAUAGAAUCGAUAUGUAAGUAAACAUGUAAACUUACUACAACAUGAUAUCUCCACUUAGCAUGAAUUUGCAUAAGUAAUAAAAGACUAUUCUAACAUGAAUGUACCAAAGUAUCACUAGCAUGAGGUCCACAAGCUAAAUAGUAAAAUGUCUUGUUUACUAUUCUAGUCAAUGUCCAGUCGGUAUGCUAAGUCAUCAAUGAUCCAAUCCUGUAGGACCUACCCAUGGGUAGUCCGGCCUGCGCCGUGCCUAAUGGCCCCGUGGUAGUCAACAUCCCCACUCUAGGAAUGAGCCUCCCCAAUGGCAUCCUAUUUCGGCCCCCAAUUCCGCACGAGCGAGCAUAUGUCGCGAUGGCUAUCUCUGGAGUGCCGGCUUGUAGGGAGCGACCCUCACAAGUAUUUGCGAAUGAGCACAAUGGCAAGCAAGCGAAAGAUCUGUCUCAAGUACCAAGUCCUCAUGUCUAAAAAUAUGAAAUAUACGUCGAAUGUCCCAAAGGCCUAUCUCUAUGUCAUCAUGUCUCUAACAUGGAAUAUAACAGAUGUUCAAUGGCCUAUCACUAUGUCUCUAAGUUGCAGUUUCACAGUUUACUAUGUCAAGUGCCUCUUUAUGGCAUUUUUGUCCACUAAGUCCAAACAUAAGUUUAUUUGUUUACAAAUGCAUAAUUUGAGCAAAUUCUAACAUAAGAGACAUAUUUUCAAGUCGCUAACACGAACACUUCCCAAAUGCAUACAAAAUGCCCAGAAUGCCCUACUAUAUAGAGUGAAAUUUUCAUGAUACAUAAGGCAUGCAUUUUAAGUGUUCUAAAAUUCACAUAAAUCUCAUUUAACAUGAAUAUGCAAUCAAAUUGACGUUACGACAAGUAUAGAAUACUUAGGGGCCAUUUCGCCUCGAUUUCAUGAAGUCAAACCCACCGAAAUUACCAAAACCCUUCGUAAGCUCCGACGAAGGUGUCCGCCACUCUCCUAAUACCCUAAAGGUAUAGAAAAGAGAGUCAAACGAAUCUUACGAACACUCAAGUGAUCGAUCAUUAACCAUCUCAAGCUAAGGUGGAGAAACUCACCUCAAGUGAAGAAAUCUUCUCUCAAGCUCCAAAUGGGAGUUAGAGUUCUUCAAAUCCAACCUAAAUAAAGGUUCUAAACCCAUCAAUUAGGUUUCAAAGCCCUCAAAUCAAAAAUCUCCAAAAUAAACCCUAAAUCCCAAAAUCUAGGGUUUCAUCUAGUAAAAUCUAAAAAAAUUGUAUUAAAUGGGGAAUACAAGCUACCAACCUCAAGAGAAGCUCCAAUCCAAGCUCUAAACCAAGUAGGGUUGAAGUUUGAUCCUCCACAAAGCUUCAACCUCGAGCUCCAAGCCACCAAUAUGUGAUGAGAGGAAGAAGAUGAUGCUCCAAGGCCUCCAAGUAAGCUCAUCUCCUCUCCUCUCCUUCUUCUUCUUCUCCUUCUCUUUCCCUCUCUAGUGUGGGUGUGAGGGAGAGAAAUGAGGGUGAGAGUAAGAGAGAGGACCAUAUAAGCCAUCCCAAGUAACAAAAUCCACUUAGGUCCCUCAACAAUCAACACUGUGCACUGCCCGGACUGGGCAGUUUUCGGACUGAAGGACCGGUCUCCCCGACCUGGGACCGAUCUCUCAGCAUGCCCUGAAAAUCCAACAUUCGGGAACCGGUCUCUUCCCGCAUGGGACCGUUCUCUCCCUGCAUAGUCGCGCUCGAGGACCGAUCUCAGCCGCCAGGGGCCGGUUGCCUCGCAGGCUACCGCAACACUGUUCUGAGGGGACCGGUCUCCCCUAUCAGGGACCGGUUCCCGAGAGUGAAAACUCUCAGGACAAUGCCAAAACUCCAGGAAUCGAACUUUUAGGUCGGAAUACCAUCUACGACCUUCCACCAAGUAUGGAAAAGUUUGGAAUCCAUAUCAAACACUCGAACCUCGCAAUUUGCAAAGGUCCAGUGUGCUACAAUUUCUCUCUCUCUGUCUUUGAGGUGCUCCAAUGAUGGAGUCUUGGUGGAGAGGAGAUGGCUUGGUAGAGAUGAAGCCCUCUCAUGGCAACCUUGCAUGGAGGAAAGCUUCAAGUUUGAGAUAAGUAUCCUAUAUUUUGGGGGUUUUGUGGUUUUAAUGUUAGAGUUUGGUUAAUCUCUUCUAAUUAUUGCAUUUAGAAGAUGCUAUGGUGGAUUUAGACAUGGAUUUCCAUGUUCUAAGGGGUUAGUUCAUAAAGAUGAAAAUCCUAGGGGUUAGAUUUGAAAAUUUUGUAAAGUUGAGAUCUAACUUGACUUUGAUCUCUUGUUAACCUAAUUGAUAGGCAUACGAACGCGUUAGUGCGCUCGGUUCGGCAAUCCGACGAGCGUACGCGGAGAUAUUGAAGGAAAGGCUAAUUCGGUACAGAUUGCCGUAGCACACAGCGUAGGUGUCCUAAAAUCACGAAAAUCGAACUGUGGCAUCCUAGCAUCACCAAAAGGUGGGGGGUGCUAUCUGAAAUCUCUGAAUUUCCUUCUAUGUCUGUGUUGCCUUUAUUUGAGCAUGUUGGUAUUGUAGCAUUCAUGCAUAUAGGGUAGUUUGACAUGUGAUUGUUGAUUGAGGUUCAAUUAUAUGCUUCUAGGUAGAGAACAUAUGAGUUGACAUUGAACUAUGUGUACCACGUAUGAAAGAAUCCUAUAUGUGUGUGAAUGUAUGAAAGAGACUAUGACAAUAGUAAACAAAGGUGACAUUGACAUUAGUGGUAUGAUUGGCACCGAGGACAUGUUAUGCUAGAUGAGGUAAAACCUUAAAAGCAUUGUGAAAUGUGGACUAUCCCAUUAGUGGACAUUGUGGCAAGUGUGGCCCUAGAUAAUGUGACAUUGUGACAUUAUGAAUUGAUGUGCUAAGUAGGGUAAGCCCUUAUGAGCAAUAUGAGAAUAAUAGCAAGAGUGACUAAGUGUAUGAUAUGCUAGACGAGGUAAAAACCCUUCUGUGCAUUGUGACCAAUGUGGCUUAGUAAAGUGACAUACAUGAUAAGGUAGAAACCUAUCAUUGGUAUUGUGGCAUUAUGGUUUGGUGGCCCAGAUGUAGUGGUAUAUAUAUGCAUGAUUAGGUAAAGACCUAUCAUUAGCAUUGAGGCAUUGUGAUAUGAGACAGAUUUGGCUAUACUUCCUCAAAUUGAGGAUGGGAUCAUACUCACAUGUAUUGGUUCCGGCUUGUGUGAGGUCGCUCCUCCACAAGCGGUGUACUCCGGAGUGUAGACACCACGGGGCAGUACCCCGACGAAGAUCCCUCAGGUGGUUGUGCAUGUGCCUCCCCCGGUAGAUGGGAUAUGUGGAAUGUGAGUUGGGGAUGAACCAAGAGAACCCCGGGAUGAUUGGAUAAAAGCCAUGGAAAAUGAGAAAGGACAUACAUGCAUUAUGAUACUUAUGAUCAUAUAUCUGUUUACUCAGUUUCUUGCAGGCAUUGUAAUAGCAUUGCAUUAGUUGGUUCGCUAUCUAUCUACCUUUCAUUUACAUAUGCCUGAAUAGACCUAAUGGGCGAGUCUGCGAGGUCGGCGGCCAAACCCACUGGGAACUUUAUUGUAGUUCUCAUCCCACUAACCAUGCAGAUUCUAGCGUGAGCGGGAAGAUCAUGGCUCGUGGCGUGGUUAUCGUGCGCUAAGUAGCGUUCUACCAUCGUGUAUAGAGCCACCCGUGAUAUUUCAUCUAUUAUGUUUGAUGAAUGAAAAUGUAAUAAAAUUAUGUGAGAGAUGAAAAUGUAUUAAGUUAAUUUGAGAGAUGAAAAUGUAUAUUGGAUAAUGAAUGUAAAGAAAGUGUAUAAGCUUUGUAUUUGAUUCAAAAUGAUCAAGUUACAAUGUAUGAAUAUAAUAGUUAGAUUACUUUCACUUGUGUUGGUUGUUGCUUGCCCUUGUGCAAGCCGUGUAUACUUGCAAUCUUUUGUUUGAAUUGCUAUGUUAUACAUGUACUGGUGGAGCCUUGGGCGGACAGGGAAGUGCUGCUCGUUCGGCGUCUGUCGACGUGCCCGAACCGACCAAAUUGGCGGUCGCGUGGCGUGACAGAUAUAGCUCCAGNGUAGCAUUUAUGCAUAUAGGGUAGUUUGACAUGUGAUUGUUGAUUGAGGUUCAAUUAUAUGCUUCUAAGUAGAGAACAUAUGAGUUGACAUUGAACCAUGUGUACCAUGUAUGAAAGAACCCUAUAUGUGUGUGAAUGUAUGAAAGAGACUAUGACAAUAGUAAACAAAUGUGACAUUAACAUUAGUGGCAUGAUUAGCACCGAGGACAUGUUAUGCUAGAUGAGGUAAAACCUUAAAAGCAUUGUGAAAUGUUGACUAUCCCAUUAGUGGACAUUGUGGCAAGUGUGGCCCUAGAUAAUGUGACAUUGUGACAUUAUGAAUUGAUGUGCUAAGUAGGGUAAGCCCUUAUGAGCAAUAUGAGAAUAAUGGCAAAAGUGACUAAGUGUAUGAUAUGCUAGACGAGGUAAAGACCCUUCUGUGCAUUGUGACCAGUGUGGCUUAGUAAAGUGACAUACAUGAUUAGGUAGAAACCUAUCAUUGGUAUUGUGGCAUUAUGGUUUGGUGGCCCAGAUAUAGUGGUAUAUAUAUGCAUGAUUAGGUAAAGACCUAUCAUUGGUAUUGAGGCAUUGUGAUAUAAGACAGAUUUGGCUAUACUUCCUCAAAUUGAGGAUGGGAUCGUACUUACAUGUAUUGGUUCCGGCUUGUGUGAGGUCGCUCCUCCACAAGCGGUGUACUCCGGAGUGUAGACACCACGGGGCAGUACCCCGGCGAAGAUCCCUCGGGUGGUUGUGCAUGUGCUUCCCCCGGUAGAUAGGAUAUGUGGAAUGUGAGUUGGGGGUGAACCAAGAGAACCCCGGGAUAAUUAGGUAAAAGCCAUAGAAAAUGAGAAAGGACAUACAUGCAUUAUCAUACUUAUGAUCAUAUAUCUGUUAACUCAGUUUCUUACAGGCAUUGUAAUAGCAUUGCAUUAGUUGGUUCGCUAUCUAUCUACCCUUCAUUUACAUAUGCCUGAAUAGACCUAGUGGGUGAGUCGAUGAGGUCGGCGGCCGAACCCACUGGAAACUUUGUUGUAGUUCUCAUCCCACUAACCAUGCAGGUUCUAGCACGAGCGGGGCGAUCGUGGCUCGUGGCAUGGUUAUCAUGCUCUAGGUAGCGUUCUACCAUCGUGUAUAGAGCCACAUGUGGUAUUUCAUAUAUUAUGUUUGAUCAAUGAAAAUGUAAUAAAAUCAUGUGAGAGAUGAAAAUGUAUUAAGUUCAUUUGAGAGAUGAAAAUGUAUAUUGGAUAAUGAAUGUAAAGAAAGUGUAUAAGCUUUGUAUUUGAUUCAAAAUGAUCAAGUUACAAUAUAUGAAUAUAAUAGUUAGAUGACUUUCACUUGUCUUGGUUGUUGCUUGCCCUCGUGCAAGCCGUGUAUACUUGCAAUUGUCUACGACCACGAAUGACGCACCUCGCACGGUUGAUCUUAUUUUCAUUUUCCCGUGGGGUAGUAUUCAUGAUUCAGAUUAAUAUUUGAAUAUGUAUGGGAAAUCAGGUAUUGUGGAUUCAUGGCUUCCAAUAGACGCAAGCGUCUAUUGUUAAUUACCCCUUCAAAGUGUUAGGGCACCUUCGAUUAAGAGACCUCUGUAAUGCUGAAAUAGACUGAAAUUGAAUAAAAGAUGGAUUUUAUAAUAUAAUCCAUUGUAUAGUUACAUGGCUUAACCAGGGGCAUACCCCCAGUGUAUAUGAAUGAACGACAUGAAUAUGACGGUUGAUUGAAUUUGAUUCUGAACCAAAGUAUAUGAUCAGAUUGAUUUGAUUGGGCUCUAUAUGUUUCAGUACUCAACAAUAUUGUUCAUCCUAAGAUGAAAGGUUGAUUAAAUUCCAUAUAUAUAUAUUAGGAUUUAAUCAGAUUUGAUUCAAAUUAAACUCUAAUUAAAUGAAUUAGAGUUUGAUUUAGUUAAUUGAACUUUAAAUAUAUGUGAUAAAGUCCAAUGGGAUUUGAUUUAAGCUUUCAUCCUAAAUGUAUGUGUUAGGAUUAGCCAAUGAGAGAGAUAGUCAGUAAUCUGUUAUGGAUUAGACUCUAAAUUAAUAUUUACUAUCUUAAUAUCUCCAACAGAUUGAAGAUAUUAAUUCAAUCCAACUAGGAAUUAAUCUAAAAUCUAACCAAUCCUAAUAGUUUGUAGUCAUAAUCAGGUAAAGGUAAUUCACUACAGGGUGAUCCACAGAUAGCGGCAACAAGUUACUAUUAGAUUUCUCAUUAACAACAUUGAAUAUUGAUACUGUAUUAAGAUAUCACUAAGAAGCCCAUCUACUAAAUGGUUUCUAGACAUAGAGAAGUGUGCCUUUAACUUCCAUUCGUUUCAAACCGAUGAACAUUUACAGGGUAAAACUAUGACAAGCUUUGAGCUAUGGGACAACAAACUGGAUCAAAUUGAAACGGCAAAUUGAGUUUACCUAUCCUUCUCUUUUGGAUCCAGCACCUUCUCAAUUUUUCUUUUAAAUCUUUAUUUCUAGUCAUAAAGUGUGCUUUUAUUCCCUUUUUUUGUUUAUAAUAUAGCCAACUUAAUAUCUGAAAACUAGACUUUAUGGAAGCGUCUCCAAAAAGAAAAAAAAAGUUAUGAGAUUCCUGAUUUCAGAACAGUCUACGGUGAAUUGGGUUUCUAGCACACAUUCUCUAAUGUGAGCUAAGUGACGAUGAGAAACACGCUAUUCAUACACUCNNNNNNNNNNNNNNNNNNNNNNNNNUAGCCUAAAUAUUUUAAUUAGACUUUAAUUUGUAUAUUCUUAGAGUCUAGUGUAUUAACGCUCGCAUGCUAUUGUUAGAGUUAAUUAUGUCUUAAUUCGAAGUUCGACCAUAGAGGUGAAAAUAUUAACUAAAUCCCAUUAAUAUAUAUUAGGACUCAGUUCGAAAUUUGAUUUAAAUUAAAACUCUAGUGUAAAUGUAUCAGGGUAUUCAGUCUUCAUUUGGGAUUCACCAUUGGGUGCAUUUAAGUUAUCUAUUGAGGUGAGAUAUGAACUAAAUCCUAACUUUAAAUAUAUGAUUAGGAUUAGUGCAAACUAUAACUUAAACUUAAUUAAAACUCUAAGUGUAUUGUAUUUAGAGUCUGAAUUUAGGCUUCAUUUGGGUUCACCAUGCACGUGAGGAUUCUAACCUAAAUCCUAAUAUAUAUACCUGUUAGAUUAGUCAAAAUUUGAUUUAUUAAACCUAAGUGAAAGGUAUUGUUCGGAUCUAAUUUGAGUUCACCAUGAGGUGCAGAUGCUAAAUUAUUUGUAUUAGAUUAGCCGAAUUAACUUAGAUUAACUCUAAUUAAUAUAUAUAAUAUUUUAAUUAAAUUUAUUGAACUCUAAAUAUGUAUUUGAGGUCUCAACAUAUUUGAUUUUUCACUCUACAGGUGAAGGAUGGCUAAAUAUAAAUAUAUGUAUUUAGAUUAGACCGCAAGAUGACUAUUAACUUAGAGCUCUAAUAUAGCCAUAUAAACUCUAAGUAUAAUCGUUAUUAGAGUCCAUGAUUAAAACGACUUUUUGAUCAAUUCUGAGGCAUCAUAUUCUAGAAUUUGAUCGAGUGAAGUAUAGUGUGGUUUGGCUCUAGCUUUUAUAUUGCUAGAGACAUCGGGUUGAAAUAGUUUGUUUCCAACAGACUUUGGUUAGAGAAGGGAGUUGGAAUUAGUUGUCAUGAUUGACGGUCUAGUUUGGACUUUGAUUUGUUACUUAUGGUCCUGGGAGGGCGCUACCGAGAUUGAGAUUUAUGAUUUGGCGCCGUAACUCUUCACCGGGUUAGCCAGAUGAAUUUCGAAUAUAAAACUGAAGUAUAUAGAGUUUCAUUACUAUGUAAGACCAUUUUCUUACACCCCUCGGAUCAAUUGAACACAUAUUCAUUUAGCAUACGUACACCGAUCAUAUCAUAGUGUACAUCAUCCGCAUUUCGUCUGUUUAUUGAGCAGUAGGUACAUGUUUGAGAUUCUUACUUAUGUACCGAAGCCAUUUUCAAUCACCUAUACUAUCUACUCUACUUAUGCCCUUUAGACGUAUCGAGAAGAUCGCCCGAAGCUGCGGCAGCCCGCGCCAAAUCCACUGGGAACUAAUUUAUAUAGCUUCCACUCCCACGUUGUAGCAAUUUCCGAGCGUCAACCGCGACAACGCGCACUGUAAGGGCAUAUAUGCGCCCCUAGGUUAGCCCUACACUUCCUUUAUGCAUUUAGCACACCGUCUCCGUAUAGAUAACCCUAUAUGUAUAUAUAUUUUGACGAGUUGUGAGACAUUAUAGUAUUGACGAUAAAACUGAACACAUCGAUGUAAUUGUAAAUAAUUGUAAUACUAAGUUAAUCCUCUUUUGAAUUCUCUGUAGUAUUGCUAAUCAUGUAUGAGGUGGUGUUCUCGUGCAACUGUUGACAUACAGACCUUGUUGUUACACUGCAUCAGGAAUGCGCCAUCUGUAAUGUUCGGCGUCUGAUUCGACCCGUACUAGCAACCACCAAUUGCCGGUCGCCACCAAAAGAAAUGUAUAUCAUACAUUAAUUUCACUCAUCUAAAGAAUGUGAUUUUUUUAUUUGUCACAAUAUGUGACAGGUAAAAGAAAUCUUAUCCAUUAAAUAAAUAACUCUAAAUCAUACACUCUCGAAUGGGGUGUAUGAUUAGCUUUUUCCUUCAGUAUAAUAUUAAGGAUUUAUUACACCAUUAGUCAACAACCUUUUCAAUUUUUCAAUUGAAUCUCGAACUUUCUUUCUUAAUCAAUCGAGUCUUCAACCUUCAGAAUUUAUUCCAGUUAUAUUCUUGUCGUCCAUGUCUAUAUUAUCUUUAACGGGAUUGAUAAGUGGUCGUGUUAUGAUUUAGAUAGUGUUGCAACAUUUUAUUAUUAAUUAUGAAAGUUUAAUUUUUUAACAUAUGCAAUGAAGUUACAACUUCACUUGCAUUCAAUGCGAAUUGUGAUAACCUAUACUAUAUAGUUUGCAACUUCACAUACAUAAUGAAGUGCAAGUUACAUAUUGCAUUCAUUGUGAAUUUAUACUUAUGCAUACUCACAACCAAAAUGUGAAACCUCUUAGCUAUUUAAUACUCUCAUAACCUAUAGCUUAUAAGGCCUAUAUAUGAAUUGAGCUAGAAUACUUUCAAAAGCACCAACCUCUUGGUGCUUUUGAGUUUCUAGCUCUUGGAUCUACUCCUUGAUUACUAAUAACCUUUGGAUUAAACAAUAUUCCACCUACCACCACCUACCACCAUCAUCUCAACCUAACAUCUUUCUAUCCAAUGGCUAAAAACUCAAAAACACCACCUUCAUGGUGCAUUUGAGAGUAUUCUAGCUCAACUCGCCUAUAUAUAUGUAUAUAGUGAAUUUUCAUUCAUUGGACAACAAUAAGAAAAAUAAAAUUAGUUUAUAGUUUUAUUUUACUAUCUCUUAUGAGAGAGAGAAGGUCAAAAAAAGGUGUUUCUUUUUGUUAGAAUUAAAACCGAAAAGAUCUAGUUCGUCGGAUGCAAAAAUACCAAAAGAGAAUCGAGAACGAGAGAAGAAAAAUAAAGCACACAAUAUUUACGUGGUUCGGCCACCGGCCUACAUUCACGGGCGAAGACGGAAUGGAAAUCUUCAUUAUAAUCAAAGCGGUGUACAAAAUAUGCCUUUCUCGUAAAAUCCUAAUCCAAAAAAUACACCCAUAAUCUCUUUCUCAUUUUCCGCACUAAACCGAUGUAAUAAAGGGUAUACUUAUAAUAGUGGCUAAAUCCUAAUACAAUUAGGAAUAGAAACCCACCAAGAUUAAGAAUAUCUCAAUAAAAUUAGGCAAAAUCUAAACUUAAGUUAAUGGGAUAAUCAAAACAGAAUAUGGUUAGAAAACUUUGCGGUACUGGAAUUCGAGACAUAUUUAACACUUUUGGUAGAGUUUUGGGCUCAUCCACAUGUACAUGUGUAGAGUUGGUGAAGCCACACGACGGGGGUUGAGCCAUUAUAUUUUGGAGAGAACAAAUCAGUAUUUUGCUGCAUCAGUUCAAAGGCUUUGCCAACUGCAAAGGGCUUGAAUCCCUUUAAAGAGAGCGAGAUUUUCGUGCCUCGUCUUGAUCGACUCGUUGACAUUUUUUAUAUUAUUUUGUAGCCAAGCUCUAUUUUUGAAUAUUUGCACCAACAGAUAGAUUUAUAAUUAAAUUCUUGGAUUGGGACAUUCCAAUAGUCCUAGAUUAGAUAGAAAUGAGAUUAUAAUUGCGUAUAUAAGAUAUUAUAGAAAUUAGUAAUAAUAACUGGAUUUAAGUAUUUUGGGCUAGUAGUUUGGAUCCAAUGAAUUAUUAUUGCUGCUGGCCUGAAUUGUUACAUUUGGCAUCAGAGCCAAUCACCAACUGAAAGCGUGAGAUGAGCCUCGGCUAAGUCAGAGUCAGAAUGACAGACUAAAUCAAAAUUAGAAAACGACAGACUAAAUCGAAAUUGGAAUGAUAAGACUACCAAGAUAAAGACUACCAAGACAAAUCUAAUAUUGCCUGAUGAUUUCGGGUCAUGUGCUAUUGCUUUGAGUGUGUUGCACGCCCAAGUUAGUCUUGGGUGAUCUGUACAGCUAAUGCAUGCCAUGAUGGUCAAUAUGGGUUGGAGAAACUUGCUCAAAAGUUUAGUCCACACUUGUGCACAAAAAGGAGAGUAAGUCUUCUUGGUUUAGGGGCUAUUUGGUUCUUUGUAAUGGCGUGGAAAGAAAAAUUCCGAUAAAAAACCUUUUUUUUAGUUUUCCAUCCAUUUGAUUUUUAGAAAUUUUUUUUUUCAUUUUAUAGAAAACAAGUGUUUCCUUUUUCCUAAAAGAAAAUUCAGAAAAUAAAAAUUCUAGUUUUUCAUAAAGUAUGAAAAAAAAAAGUUUUUCAAAAAUGUCUAUUUUCUUGCAAACCAAAUAAAUGAAAAAUUAGAAAAAAAUAUUUCCAUAAUUUAUUUUUUUGAAAAACUUUUUUCUACACUUUAUAGAGUUGGGCUUUUCUCUGGUUGCUUUUUAAGUAUCACUAGUGUAGACCCGCGCUUCGCUGCGGAUUAGUAGAUCGUGUUAAUUAAUUUAAGUAAGCUGAUAAUAAGAAAAUAAUUUAUGAUAGAGGAGGCAGAGGAGGAGGUGGCCCCGGUGGUCGUGCCGCGGCUCACGGCGCACAUGGAGGGGGGGCUGAGGAUGAUGGUGGUGGAGAGAAGGAGAUGAGAUGAUAUGUACUUAAGCUUUUGAUUUAGAUGGUUAAUUAAUUAUGAGUAAUGAUAAAUUAGUUGUGUGGUUAAUUAAUUAGUUAAUGUUAUUUUGUUUAUUUAAUUCUCAAUCAUAUAUAGUAGCAGUAUUAUAAUGCAUCAUUAAAAGUUUUAACACAACAUCAGCACGUAUAAUACAGCGGAGGGUUACAAUAUUAUUGAAAAUAGUAUUUCAGCAUAAUGCAAGAGUAAAAUGCAGUAGUAAAUAUAAUCCUUCACAUCUUGUCUUCAUUUGUAGAGGGAGCUUCAUCGAAACUGAAAAUAAAAGUGAAGCUUUUAAUUUACGCUACGUUUAUAUUAGUAAAAAAGUAAAAUAAUAAAGAGCGGACGAUGGUAGAGCUUACAUAAGUCUUCGCUUAAGUCGGCGCUUUUUCGCCGUAGGAAUUUCAUUUAAAUCAUCGUCAAGUAUUGGAGAGCUGUAAAUGCAAAUAUAUAUAUAUAUAUAUAUAUAUAUAUUGUUAAAGGAUGUCUAUGCGUGUGUGUGUGUGUGUGUAUAUAUGUUCAAUGUAGAACAAACCAAUUAUGAGAAUAUUACCUCGAUGAAGUAGAUGUUUCUUUCGAAAUUUCAUUUUGAGUAGUAGGAGGCAGCUCUUCUUCACUUUUGAUUAAUAAAUUUUCGUUAAAAAUUUUAAGCACUUUGAAAGAAGGAGCACUUGUUCUAAACCUGUGUAGAUCAGGGACAAUUUGGAAAAUAUACUUUUGUCCAACAAUUGUUUUAAUUAGAGGAUGAAGAGUAAAUUUAUCUGAACCAACUGAAGUAGCUAAGUUUUGAGCUGGGAUGUGAAUCAAAUCUUGCGCCAAUCUUCCGAAUAUGGUAAAAUUUGCAGAACCACUACCAUCUUCGACAAUAGUGUUUAAUUUGUACCUGCUCAACAAAAUAUUAAAUCACAUUAUUAAAAAACAAUAUUUAUUUUUAGAAAAUAAUAAAUAACUAUUAAAGAAUAGAAUAUAUAUACCAUGAUACAGGGGACUGAUCAUUUUUGUCACAAUUUGAGCACCAAAAACUAUCAUCAAAUGUUUUGAUAGCUGAUUUGCAAUUAUAGCAAGCUUUAUACCACCAACCAAAUGAUGUGUCAACUUCGGCAAUUGUAGCCUCACAGGUAAAUUUUAUAUUCUGGUUGAUACAAAGCAAUGAAUAAAAUUUUAGCGAACAGGGGAAAAAAUGAAGUAGCUUUGUCAAAUAAUUUAACAAAAUGGAACAAACUCGAGGAUAGCAAAUGGAAAAGGAAGAACAAACAAAUAAAGAAAAAACGCAAUAACAGAUGGGAAAGGAAAAACAAAUAAAUGAAGGAAAAAUGCAAUAAUUUUAUAACAUAACUUCACAAAAUAAAACUUACUUGAGAAGUAGGUAGGUCGAGACUCAACAACCCAGCAAUAUUUUUUCUAUUCGCAAGAAUUUCUUCCUGUGGACUAAUACUUUGUUGCUGGCUCGUGUUAAUGCGUUGAAUCGAAGUAGACAUUGGCUGUAAUCUAUACAUAAUAGUUUGACAUGGAAAUUAAAUAUACUAACAAAACAAAUAGAAAUAAAGAUCCAUAUUUAGGAACAAACCUAUCGACAAACUGUGUAACCUCUGGAAUCUGUAAAUUAAUAUAAAUCUUCGAAGCUGAACAUGUCGACAAAUUAAUCUUCUCUGAAUCGACAAAAUAGAUACAAAGAAUUAAUAGUCUCAGAUUUAAUUUUGUAUGCUAGCAUUUUGUUCAAAUAUUAAAGUAAGCUGUUAACCUUUAAAAGAACGAACUGUCAUGCCAGCGAGGAUUAUUAUAAGGGAGGUAUGCCCAUCUUUGUCUAAAAUGCCGCUAUCAUCAAAUUCCAGAGCAAAUUUAUCCCACAAUGUAACAGACAAAACAUUCAUCCUGAAAAGAAAUAUAUAAAAGAUGUAUUACAUAUAAAUUCAGUUACUGUCAAUUUAAAAAUAUACUCUAUUGAUUAUACAAAGUUGAAAGCAGUAGCUUACUCUAAAUCUUGUAUUUCUAAAUUUCUGAGGGGAGUCAGAGUUUGGCCAACAUAUUUAUGCGCAAUUUCGCUAACAGCUGUAACUCGCCCAAAGACAUCUAAAAUUCAGGCAAAAAAGUGCAAAUUAUUAAAGCCAAAUCUUAUGAAUUCCUAAUAUAAAUGGUUACUUUGAAGUAAACAUGUUAUGUUGUAGGUAAAUGUUACCUGUGAGAACAGUGUCAUUGUAUCUUUGAUUUUCAACAUGAGGAAAGCUUAAGAACUUAAAGCUAUAUAAGGGUAUUUGGUCCACAUUUUCUUCCACCAGUGUUAGACUUGUCCAUUUAUUGAUCUGAAUCAUGUAGAGACGCUCAACGACAAUGAACUUUUUUUUACUUGGAAUAACAUUGAACUUUUCUAUGAGAUAUACGUUCCCUUCUGCAAGCCGGCUUUUCAGCUCUUCGACAUCUUUUUUACGAAUGGUCGCUUGCAAAGAAUAACCCUAGCCAUCACGUUGGGGAAAAAAUGUGUGGAUUAAUAGGAAAAAAGACUAAACAGGAAACGCUGCGUAAAAAAUAUGUGCUAUAACCUUUUCAUCCACCAUCAAACAAUCUAGACCGAAUAUAUCUCCCUUCAAAAAAGGCGCAGAUGAUUCCCAAAGCCGACAAAUCCGAACUUUUAUCUUGCAACCUUGUCGCUGCAAUGAUAAAUCAGAUAACAGGACAUAUUCCAUAGCAGCUUUAUAGCCCUGGUUGAUAGAACAGGACAAAAGGAGGCGAGUUAGAAAAGAAAUAAAUUGUGUUUAUUAAACAAAAAUGCAGAUAGAUACCUUAUGCUAAACAAUUUUUCUUUAUACGUCGGCAAAUAUUUCAUGAUAGACAACAUUUUUUGUAUGCCCUUCUGGCUCUCCGUCCUUAUUUUCUAUGUAAAUUCGCAGCCCUUCUUUAGAAGUUACGCGAGAAAUUGCGACGUAAAGUUGUCCAUGGGAAAAUACAGGUUGCGUCAAAAAAAUACCAACUUUCUGUAAUGUUUGACCCUGGCUUUUAUUAAUUGUCAUUGCGUAACUCAAACGUACUGGAAACUGUCUUCGUUUUAACACAAAUGGCCAUUUUGAAUCUGUUACAUUCAUUAUAAUGCGAGGAAUAUAAACUUUCUCGCCAACAUGGUUACCUGUAAAAAUUUGUGCCUCAAUAAUUCGAGUAGUCAGCUGAGUUAUUACCAAUCGUGUACCAUUGCAGAGGCCAGAAUUUUGAUUAAUGUUCCUAAGCAACAUUAUAGGAGCCCCGACUUUCAAUUUUAUUUCAUGAUUGGGUAUUCCAUUAAAUUUUAGAGAAUUCAAAAACUCUACUGGAUAGAGUAUAUCAUUAUCUUCGGCAUUCCUCGAUAAACUGCAUAUUGAAUCUGAGCUUAGGUAAAGACGCUCUUCAGUUGGCAGCAGAGUGAGUACAUAUGUAUUGAUCUCAUCAACAACUUCGUUUAUCGGCGUAACGAUCGCUCGAUCUCGCAGGUAGGAAAGAUUAUUGUACUUUACUCCAAUAUCAUCAUAAAUAUCUGCAACAAUACUGUGAAUGUCAUUUACAUUUUUUUCUAUAAGCAUAGUGUCGGGGAUUUUAAUCCAAGUUGCCUCUUCUUCUCCAUUCAAUUUGGUAGCAUGUAUUGCACCAUUACCAAUAUCGAGUAUCCAUUUACUAAAUUCUGCUAGAGAUACAUCCGAUGUUUGAUUGGAAGAACCUUGUAGCAAUCGCAUAUUUUUAGUCAGUUUAAAAAUCUUGCACUUGCUCCAUAUAUAAGAUCUAGUAAUUGAUGCAUUAAGAAUAUCUUGUCUACUUCCUCCCGCAACAACUGGAAGUAUUUGUCUGAAAUCCCCUCCUAAAAGUACGGUUUUGCCCCCAAAAAUCUUUUCACCGGCGAUUGGAUCAUCUGUUUCCAAAACAUCUUUCAAUGUUUUAUCCAAAGCCUCAAAACAAUUUCUAUGGUUCAUAGGUGCUUCAUCCCAAAUAAUUAGGCUAGCAUGGGAAAUUAAUUUUGCAAGUUGGGUUCCUUUUUUUAUCUCGCAGCUAGAACAAUCAUCAAUUUUAAUAGGUAUUUUAAAUCUUGAAUGGGCAGUCCUGUCCCCAGGCAAUAGAAGUGAUGCUAUUCCAGAGGAAGCAACAGCUAGCACUACUUUUCCCUCUGAGCGUAGUUUUGAAAUAAUAGCUUUCCAAAGAUAAGUUUUACCCGUUCCACCAUGUCCAUAAACAAAUAUUACACCGCCAAUAUUCUGAUAUAUUGAAAUCAAGACAGCAUUAUACACAUCCCUUUGCUCAUCGGUCAAUCCCUUAAACAGGUGCAAAUGCUCUUGUGUUAAUUCACCUAUAUCAUAAACCAUUUCUUCGCGCAAUAGCCUAUUAUUCAGUUGAUCAACCACUAAACUAUUAGGUAUAGGAAGCUUAAAGUGAGCAAGUGAGCUACAAUUCUUGUUAAACAAAACCUCAAGUUCAAAUAAAACGUGAUUUUGGAGUUCAAUUUGAGGUAUUCGUAGCCUUUGUAUUCCGAGAAUGUUCCUGAGCUUGCACAAAAUAUCAUCGGCAAAUAAUUUCCAAAAUUCUUCCCAUAAUUUAACUGGAUCUGUCACUUCGCAAUACAUCACUAAGGUUACAAACAAUUCUCUAAGUUAAGCUGCAGAGCACUAAAGGGCUGCCUCACUUAACGCUUCUCUCCAUUCUCUAUCAUCUCCAAGCAAGCCAAGGGCUUGACAGGCAGAGCGAAAUGUUGCAUGAACAACACCAUGCACCGACCUAAUCUCUUUAUAAUUUCUUGGGCCCUUAACCACGUUUAAAAGCAUUCUUAAGUAAUAAAGUUCGCCGGCACUUGGGUGGAUAUAAACCACCCUGCCUAUACGAUUCCCUUGCUUUCGUCUCGACCAAAACUUAUCUUUUGGAUGCCACACCCAUUUAGUCGGAAACUCUGCAUAUGUAAGUUCGCGAUCAUCGUCAUUACCUAGGUUGGUCUCCAUCCAUGAUGUAAACAUUGUUUUAUCAAUAUUAGGACGUCUCAAGACAUCUUCUAGAUUUUGCCCACCAUGAUAUAUAAUAUUAUUCAUCAUAGGCAAGUGAACGGCCAAUCUUUCGACAGAUGGUUCUCUAAAGUGAAUGUCGAAAUCAAAUAACCUCCAAACAGCCUCAUAUGCGGAUAAAUACCGACAAUCCAAAUAUUGCUUAAUUUCAUCUACUUGAUUGUACCGGGCUCCGGAGCUAGAAGCCCCUUGAGUAAUAUUAUUUUCUAUAACAACAGUAGAUCGAUCCGGACCUUUGUUAACAUAUUUGAACAAAUACUUUAUAAGCCUCGAUUUAUUACACCACUCAACAUUGAUAUGAGCCUGAUAUUUCAAAACUAAUGUAACAUUGUGAGGAACAACAAAUCUAUUAUCAAGUUCGAUACCGCUUUUAAUAGCAAUCCUGUGAUCAUUGCGCCUCCUAUACACAGGAAAACCAUCAUCACUUAUUACAGUUUCACUUUUAUACUCCUUUGGAAAAUGUUUCGAGCAUCGACCUUUUAUCAUACAUGGUGCUGAUGGCUUUGCUAGACCGCACGGACCGUGCAUCAUAAAGUUGACAAUACUCGCGUAACUAUUUGGAUUAGUAGUCUUAUCAGGUAUCUCUGCUGAAAUAAUUGAAUCAAUUUCAGAAUUUGUUAAGCGUUUGUGAUCAGUAUGCAACCAUACUAAGAUAUGUGCAUGCGGGAGCCCUCUUUUCUGAAACUCCACUGUAUACCGAUCUGUGAGAAACGAAAGAAUUGUAAAAAAAAUUUUAACUAAUAAAUAGCAUUCAGUUCGUUAAAAUUAGUAACGACCAUGUACCAGCAAUUAUUUUUCCGAAGAAUUCGUAUUUCCUGAUAUCAGUCAUCAAUGCUUCCAAUUUCAUCUUAAAAACUCUACUAACAAUAUCCGGUCUAUCUUCUGGUCGUUGCCCAGGAAUAAAUUGCAAGGCUUCACGUAUUUCUUGCCAUUGUGCAUUACAGGUAAAUGUUAUAAACAAAUCAGGAGGGCCGCAAUGUCGACAUAUGGCAAUAGCAUCUUGGUAAUUUUGAACCAUAUACCGUGGGCCAGCUGUAAAACUUGAGGGUAGUAUAACUCGUUUCCCAAUUGCAUUACCGUCCACAUCACCCUCAACAACAGCAUCCUUAAUACCUUUAUAUAUUUCAGAUCGCAAAUUUGUCUGGUUGUUUCUAAUAUAGGCAAGCCUUUCUUCUUCAACGCAUGAGAAUGCAUCUACUAUAUAUUGUUGGAAAAGCUUGCCACCACGUAUUAAGGUUUUUCCUUCCCCAUCUCUAUUUUGUAUUCUGUACACGUAAAACUCGCGCAUUGUAACACAUUGCCUCGAGUUUGUCUUCCUACGCGAGUUCUCACUACAUUUAAUACCCAGCCUAAAACCAUCUUCACCAUAUGGAAAAAGUAUUGGAUAUUGCAUUGCCAUGAAAGAUGGAUGUAAAUCGCUAAUACGUUUCAAACCAUGAGUUUUGUGUUCAACUAUGAUAUCACGUUGCCGAUCGGCACAACCAAGGUCGCCAAUUAUCAGGCCAGCAAUUUCAGCACACGAUGGAGGAUUAUACUGAGUUGGACAGUUUAUUCGCGAACCAAUCAAUUGCAAUCUGAUAGGUAAAUAAUCACUUGCUUGAAAACGAUCUCUAACCAUCUGAAACGCUUUAACGAUUUCAUUUCUGACGUCAAACAUCUUUAGUAAAUCGGAAAUAAUAUUUUUAUCGAUAUUCGAAAGGCCCCCGCCUACAUCAUCGAACGCUUGCAUCCUAUUAUCUAUUUUGUGCUCAGUGUCAUAAAUAUAUAGCUGAGCAAAUUUAGGACGUUGACCAUCAAGGGGUAGUAGAGAGCCCAUUACAUGGUGAUUUUGGCCACUAAUUCUAAAAAUAUACGGUCCUGGUCUCUUAUUAAUCUGAGAAUCUAUUUUUCCACCUAUGGAGGUGAAGGCAAACAUAGAGUUGUAGACCCUAAUAUUUUCACGAAAUUUAGUAGCUGCGCGAGAACCUUGGUAAUCUAACAAACUAUCCAACAUAUUUGGCGUUUUUUCUAGCGGUGGCAAGCAAAUCCGGCCUUCUUGGCAGCAUAGAGAAAAUCUUGGGACAGCUUCAUUUCGACAUUUAUAAAUUCUUUCGUUGUACCAUAAUAAAGCUGAACAUGAUUGGCAUUUAUAUUCAGGUUUUCCUAAGUAGAGUUGUUCUACUUGUGUACUGGAACUGCCGUCACCUCGUCCACUUGUGGCACCGUAGGUGAUAGAGCCAUGGGUACUCACCAAAGGGAAGAUAGUAUUUCUACGUUGGUUCAAAAUAAUCCUCCGCCUUUUCCUAUUCUCUCUACAUUGGAGCGAUCUAUUAAGACAAUCAUCAAGGAGAAUAACAUUUAUAUGUCGUGUGGCGCACUGGCGGGCAAUAUUUCUACGAUGAUUAAGUAUGAGACGCCUUCUCUUCCUAUUUUCUCUACAUAUUUCGGAUGCAUCCAUUCAACUCUGGGUGUAAAAAAAGUGUAAGGGUGACACACCGUAACAAAUUGAAGAGAAAAAGAUGGAAGUAGUAGUGAGUACCUCAAUACGAAACAACAGUAGACACCCUCAAGUAGCUAUAGGGAUCACACAGUAGAAAACCUGUACAUAUACCAUUGUUAAUGACAAAGUUGAGCAAUUUACAAAUUUUGAGCACUUUAUGUAUACAUGUAGAUACACCAAUGGUAGAACAGGAGUGAGGCACUACGCUACUGCACUGUGAGUAACAUGCAACAUUAAGAUGUUACCUAAAAACUGAGCAUGAAAUUUGCAAAUUUCGGCAAGCGAGAGGUCCUACGUCGACGGAAGCUCACAAAUGAGGUAGGUAACUGCGGUUACAUUGAAAGUAGAUGAGAAGAAAUUGAGAAAUAAAAUAUGUAAAAUUUUGGUGAGAACUCAAAACGACGAAAUAAAGAAGAAAAAAGUAUAAGAAACAAAGAUUGGAGUAAUUAAAACCGGUAGAGCGAAGUAAGAAAAAGAAGCAGAGAAGGAAAACAUUUUUUAAAAUUCCGAACAAAAUCGUAGGGACUUGGAAGGCUCAGGCAAAACAACAAUUCAAUCCCAAUAAAAUAUAUAAAGAUAGAGACCAUCAGUGAUAGGUAGGAUUGAAUAUGUUAGCUAUAUUUGCCAAGUGCAAGUGGUUGCCUUAGAAAAAGGCCUUCCUUACUCGAUGCACUUGUUUUAUCAUCACUGCCUUACCAAUCUAGGACAAUAGGGAGAAGGUAAAAAAUAGCGGACAAAAUUACACUGAAAGUCUAAAGAUAAGAGUGAGGGCACAUACCAUGCCUAUAAAUGUGCUCAUCUUAAUACUACAAAACAUGGAGCGAAGAAAACGGAAAAACAAAAAUGUAAAUAACAAUUUAUUAAUAAGAGUAGCGAGAAAAGUAGACGAAAGUUUUAUUUAGUGGAGAGGUUAAAAAGAUGGAAUAAAACAAAAGGGAUUAAGAGAAGCAGAGAGGGUAAACAUUUUUCCUUAAAUGUAAGGUAAAACGAAAAUUCAAUUUUAAGCAAAGACAGUACAUUAGCUAUGGUAGCCAAGUGCAAUUAUUCUGUAAAGUUAGGAAGGAGGUAAAAAUAGAUGAAAAGAAAGUAGGCAGGUAAAGAGCAUGAAAUUCGCAAACCAUCACCCCAUCUAUCUAAGGAGAGGAAGUAAGAAAGUCUUUCUAUUCUUAAUUCUGUAAAAGAACACCAAACCAAGUUAGAAAAGGUUCCAUUCAUUAAGGUUUAGGCCCAUUUAAUCAUAUUUAUAUGCUCGGCCAUUUUUUAUGGGCUCAAUAUGCAGGCCCAUUUAAUCAAAUUCAAUGCCUUAUUAUUACUGGGGUAGGUUUAACUACUUUUCAUGGUUGGGCUGGGCCCCAAUAGCAUUUGCUCUAACCUAAGAAGAGGUGUGGUAUACACCCCUCACCUUCUUUUCCCCCAUUUUAGCCUUGAUACCUUUUCUUUUUCCCCUCGGCAAAAAAAUGCACGAAGGCCCCCUCAAGUAUUGAACUUCUGUGAUAUAGACCCAUCGACUUUUUUUUUCUUUUUUUAAAAAAUUAGAUUCUGAUACAUUUUUUAAUGGGCCCUUAAUUGGCCCGUUAAGACCCAUUUUUACUGUACAGCGUACCAUUUUCCAAUUAUUGGGCCAGAUUUGGCCUAUCUCUGAUUUUCUGACUUUACCUAAAAUGGAUCCAAUAAGAGCCCGGUAAGACAUGGGCCGAAAUUAUAUUCAUAAAAUUAUCAACGUAAAUUCCAAUCCAACAUGGAAGUAUAGAGCCCUUGUAUACAAUUCUCAAAAAAAUAACUAAAAUUAGGGAGCAAAUCAAAUAGCUAAAUAAAUUAAUUAAAAGCAUGGAAAUAUCAACAGCAAGAGUAUAUAAAUAUUUAAGGAAAGACCAAACAGGGGAAAAAAAGAAUUUAUAUUCACUAAUCUAGCAUGGAAGUAUAGAACCAUUUCAUAUAAUUAUCACAAACAUAAGUAAAAUUAGGGAGCAACUCAAAUAAUUAAAUAAAUUAAUUAAAAGCAUGGAAACAUCAACAGCAAAAUUAGUAACAUGUUAGUACGUGACAGCCCCUGAACCAAAAGCAUGAAAAUAUCAACAGCACGGAAAUAUCAAAAGCAUGGAACCAUCUCCUUCCUUCUUUACUUCUAUUCCGACCACCGGGCCGCUCUUUACUUCUAUUCCGACGACCGGGCAGUUCCGGCUCGCUCGGGACCACGCGAUUAGCAGUGUGGUUAAUGCUUCAUCCAUAUUACUUAUUGUUGAGUUUGACUUUUAUGUGUUUCAUUAUUGAAGGUCCUACUACUAAACCAUAUUAUGUAAGAAGGAUGGUUAGUCAUGAAGUUUUCUUGUUCCUGCAUAUGUACUUGCAAUUCGCAUACAUUAGUAACGUGUUAAGUAAUUAGCCUCCAGUUAGACAUCAGAUAGAAAAAUAUCUAAACACUAUAAAAGACUGGGAUUAGAAGAAAGCUAACAGGAAUAGUUUAAAGAAAUAAAGUAACUAUAAGUGGAAGAGUACAAAGCACAACCAAAAGUUAGUUCAAACAGCAGAACCCAAAGUUACACAGACAGAAUAGAGCUAAAGAAGAAAGGAGAACAGACACAGCUAGCUUUGUUCAGGACAGAAGCAUAGCGCAAACCAAAAUAGUAAGUCCAAACCAAAACAGAGAACCCAACGUAAAAAGGUCCGCGAGCUAAGCGGGUUGGUUAGACAUGGCGUCAGAUGGAUUGGCAGUAGUAGGCGGUGGUUCAACAGUAAGGCGGUUCAGCGCGUCGUGGCACUCCCCGAUAGCUUGGCGCAACAUGACCCUCUCGUUGAUGUAUUCGUUCUUUUGUGCAAGCGUGGUCAGGUAGCAUUCCUUCAGGAUAUUGUACUCCCGCGUCAGAUUAUUGAACUGUGAAAACAACAGAGCGUAAUCAGUCAGUUGGUGAUCAUACAAACUUUUGUAGACGACCGAGUCUUCGUAGUUAACAUCCUGCACUUGCAAAUCGCACUCAUCCUUCAGCCUCCUUAGAGCCCGACGCACAACAUCCUGCUCAGCAGCAGCGUAAGUAGGGAAGGGUGUGCUCUCACACCGGACCGUUUCAGUGACAGUUUCGGUCCGGGGAAUCUGCAGAUCCAUGGAGCUAACGAACUGCCCAUCCGAGUUCGAAGCCGCCACGAAAUGAGGCACCGCUAGGUGUAGCUGCUCGCAAACCUCGUGCAGCAGCCUAGUGUAAGAUAGGUGGAUAGUCAGCAUGGAGCGAACUGCAAAGAAACAGAAAUCAGUAGAAAUGUCAGCAAAGAGUUAAAUAACCAGGCAAAGGAAUAAAAUAACUGCAGGCAACGAACAAUCAUUAAAGGGGAACAGCCGGAAAAUGCAAAAAAAAAAGGGAAAAAGAGAACCUCAGGCUGAAGAGGCGCCACUUUAAAAGGAGGUAAAAAUCAGGUGCCAGAAAGUAAGUAGCAAGGGAUGGACAUGUUUAUUUUCUUUUUGCAUUUACGAACAAACCGGUAACAGACCCAAGGGAUUAUGAGGGGAAAGAACAAAUUUAAAAAACAGAGGUAACUUGAAAGUUGGAAGAAACGGAGAAGAAUGGUAAACUGCAGAGGAAAGUUUAAAAAAGGGAGAGGCUCAGGGAGGGAAAUGAGGCUUCUGGAAAAAAGGAAAAAGGAAUGCUCAGUAAAGGCCGCAGAACAGGACCAAUGUAUAAAACCGUCACCGAACGAAGGCCAGUAGGUGGUUGCCUCUAAACAGACCGUCCAACCUGUUGCUGGCAUCAGGUAGGUGUACCGAUGUGUGCAUCCGACCAGCAGGUGGUUGUCUCUGAACAGGCCGUCCAAACCGCUGUUGACUUCGGAAAAGUCGGAACAAUGUCUGCGUACUUGGUGAGCAUUGGUGCAUAAGCUAUCCUUGCAAUACGGAACCAGAGGCACGCCCAAUCUAUACCUCUUUCUGUAUCAUCCACCAUCAUUGCCUUGGGGAACAAAAGUAAAAGGAAGAAGAACAUGAAAAGAGCCAGAAGACAAAAUGAAAGUAAUUAAAGUAAAGGCAUAACCAUGGAAUGCACAAAAGUGUUGUUCAGUGUAAGCCCACAACUAUUUUUAUGUAAGCGAAGGUCACCUGGGAUGAUGUUCUUCCACUCAACUAAAGAGCAUCACCUGGGAUGAUGUUCUUCCACUCAACUAAAGAGCAUUGUCCUUGUCAACGGGAAGGCUCUAAGAAAGGAGCAAAACCUGUACAUAUAGAUGCCCAAAUGCAUGCAGGCACAUGCGCAGGCGCACAAACACACAGAGUACACACAGGCACACACACACAUCCAUAUACAAAGUUGUUCAGGAAUAUGCAGUAAGAGAACGCAUGUGGAUACAUGAACAGAUGCACAGCAAAUACGUAGUUGUGGUCUAAUCAGGCGGGAAAAGGUUUCCAAGUCUCCAAGCCCAAACCGAAAGUUUGGUAGUAAAAUUGGCGCAAGAGAACGGGAAGUAGCUAACUAAUUAAGAGGCAUCAAUACAUAUACACAUAUACAUGUACAACUGUGACUCAUUACAGUAUCAUCAUCUGAGCCACUUUGCAGAUAAAUGCACUUAAAACCAAACUGUAACGGGCGAGAGGGACAAAGUUAACUGAGGACAGGGAGUUAGAAAACAUAUGCACAUAAAUGGACAGUAAAAGGGUGCUUAGAUUAUUCCAAGUGAGCUUCAUUAUGAUUCCACUUGGCUGUGGAAAAUGCCAGAUUAGAUAAACAUAAACAUCAAUUUGAUAUAUAUAUAUAUAUAUAUAUAUAUAUAUAUAUAUAUAUGUGUGUGUGUGUGUGUGUGUGUGUGUGUGUGUGUAUAGAUGCAAGCACACAGGUAUGCACACAAUUACAAUACACACAGCAUGCACACACACACACACACACACACACAGAGAGGGAAGCAACUCAUGGUUGCACACAUAUAUUCAGUUUAUAUAUAAAACAAUAUACACAAAGGUAAUAAACAGUAAGAGAGGCAAGGAAAAUUCACUCUGUUUCGAAUUGGCAAUAAUCCAUAGAAGCUUCAUUAUGAUUCCACUUGGCUGCGAAAAUGCCAACCUAGAUAAAUCCAAAUUUGAAAGAUGUCAUGUAGGAGCAGGACUUAUUUAUUUUACAUGACCAUGACUUCCCAAGUAUCAGCAGUUAGACAUUCUAGUUAAUAACUCAACUGGCCCCUAUGGAAUACAUUCUGCCACUAAAGAUUUACCCACAUUUUAAUUCCAUCCACAUAGUCACGAUCAAGCAAAUUAGUCCUGAACCCAGUUUCUUUGUUAUGCUGAAAGCUUCAAUUCCAAAUCCAAGCUAAAAACUCAUGACAAAAUUGGUGGAAGAAAACUACAUAGCGCGCGCGCGCACACACACACAUACAGCACACACAGAACAAACAGGAUGCACGCACACACAACACACACAUAAGUACAAAACUGAAGUAAAGGGCAGAACUUAAGGUGUUCUUCGAGUUUAGGGAGCAGCAAAUAACAGUUCGAAAGCAGGUUAUGUGCCCUUUUUUUUGUUAAGAAGCUAAGUAAUCAGCAGCAGCUCUAAAUCCAUGAAGAAAUAAGCAGAGCAUGUAAAUUUCCAUUUGAAACCAAGUAAUUAAUUUUUUGUGUCCAUUUUUUUAGAAGUAAGCAAGCAGCAACAGCGGGAGGGGGGAAAAAGAGAGAAGAAUGGGAGAACAGAAAAUAGAUAGGUAAUCAAAAGGCCUAAACAGAUGGAAGCUAAACAAAUAAAUACAUAUGUACAAACAAAGUAAGGGUAAGUGUAGAAAAUAGUUAAACACACAGCAGUUGAAAACCUUUAAUGCGCACCACAAACAGGACCUUGCCAAAUCUUCAUGGCCCCAUCUUAAUUAUGAGACAAUGUAAAUCAACGGAAGGAAAGAAUGUGUAAACCACAACAUAACAACUUUAGAAGGUGAACCACCCCACAGUAAGGCACAACACUUUUUUAAAUGAUGUAACGUAAACAAAAAAAUAAAUACGUGCAUACAGGCAAAGAGUAGAUAAAGGCAGGAAUACAUGAGCGAAGGGCAAGGAAAGAAAGGGUAGGUCUAGAAAAAAUAGUCAAAUACAGCAGCAUGAAAAACCCUUAACGACAUCGCAAACAGUGAAGUUUUUUAAAAAAGAGAGGCUCAGCCAAGGUCGCCAGGCGACCACAUAUUUGGGCAACCACUGGCAUCAUUUGAAUAGGCAAGCUCGAGGUUAAUCUUACGCUAACAGUAAGUCUAGGACAGCGAAUACCAGUCAGAAAAUUUUGUGGAUAUACAAUAGGAAUACGGGACCCAGCGUAAGCAGGUGGUUGCUUGCUCGUACGAACACGUCGUCCAACCGGCUCGCUGUGCAAUAGGUCGUAAGCCAGCAUGAACACGAAUAUGGCAUCACCCACAGUUUAGACAACACCAAUCGCCUGUUCAGCAUAAGCAUGUCGUUGCGUGUCCGUACGAACAUGCCGUCCAACCAGCUGAGUGGGCAGUAGGUUAUAAGGCAGCACGUAGACGAAUAUGGCCCGAGCUUGCCAGUUCAGAGCGUUCCAAUAACCUGACAUCAUUGCCCCAGAACGAAAGCCGAAAGUCCAAAAAGGAUUUAAAAGGGAAAACAUUUUAAAACGAAUGAGCAGGAAAGAGGAUCAGAAAUAACAAUAGAGGGUUGCCUCAGAAGAGGCCGUCCAACUCUUGCCACGUGUCGCGGGAUAUUAUAUUAAGGUGCAAAGUAUAGGAUGUAGGAACAGUACAUCACCUGGAAAAGAACAAAGAGAACAGGGAAAAAUUAUUUCUUGUUCAUCUAUAGCUGCCAAAUAGGGGGGGCGGGAAGCUAAAAUGUAGGCCUCACCUUUUUUUUUUUUUGCCUGCGCGAAGCCAACAGGAGCAAAAGGGGAACAGGGGUGCCUAAGUUUGAGCCAUUUAAUUAAGUUAGUAAGUAUAGCCAUGUUUAGCGAGGACAGGAUGUUACGGCAGAGAGCAUGAAGGUAAAGAAGGUAAUAUAUGAAAAUCCUUAAACAGCCUACCUUCUUUUUGGGACGUGCAAAGUUAUUGUGCUCGGAGCAUAGGGGGGGCUAUUUAUAGAGAGCAGAUUUUCCUAAUACCGAAGAAGAAAAUAAUAUGCAGGAGAACAGCAAAUAAAAUAUCUUCCAUAUUUUUUUUACUUACCCCUGAUGAUAAAUAAAAUUAAUAAAAUCCACAUAAUUGUUUUCCUUUUACCAUCUUUCCCUGGCCCAUGGUUUCUCCAUUCUUUGUUGGCCCCUGGUUUCGAGAGACAGCCCUGGUAGGUAGUAGGGUAGGGGGCAAGUAGGGGGCGACGGGCCACCGCCCAUCAGAGCCACCCUGCAAGACAACGGAUCGAGCCGCACCCGCGGAGCACCUGAGGAGCCAAAAGGGUGGCUCAGCUGCAGGGCCGAGUACGUAUGGUGGCGAGUAGGUUAGGGGUCAAGUAGGGGGCGGCGGGGCACCGCCAAUCCGAGCCAGCCUGCGAGCCAUAGGACCCCUGCCCGCAGGGCAUCCGAAGAGCCACUACAGCCCACGUAGGCACGGAUAGGAGAGCGGUUAGAGGAGGAAGGGAGCGAGAGAGAGAGCGGUAGGGAUGGCAGGAAGAGAGAGAGAGAGAGGCGGGGAUGAAAGAGAGAGAGAGGGGGAGUGAGAGAGAGAGAGCGGCAGGGAUGGAAGAGAGAGAGAGAGGGAGGGAGAGAGAGAGAGAGCGGCAGGGAUGGAAGAGAGAGAGAGAGAGAGGGGGAGAGCAAGAGCGGCAAGUUAAGAGAGAGAGGGGCUAGGGCACGAAUAGAGGGGAAGAGAGAGAGAGAGGGAGGGACGGGUAGGGUUAGAAUUAGAAGGAAAAAGAGAGAGAGGGGGCGGAAAGAAAGAGGCAGAAGAAACGCCUCAUCGCCACGUGGAACGAAGCCUCGGCAGGCAUGCCACGGGGCAUUUGAUGGAAGUGUCAAAUAGAUAUAGUUAAUAGAUUUACCUUCGUAUUCACCUAUAGUAAAAAUAAAAUUGUUUUUUUUUUUUUCCUUCUCAAUUUUGAAUAAUCUCCCCAUUUCAUCUUUAAAAUGUUAAAAUUUGAAUACAAUCUUCGACUACAUGAAACCAAAUAAAUUUUUUAUAACUAUAAUACUUUGACUAUUACAUCCAAAAAAUAAAGUGUAUAUAAUUAUAACUGUUGUAUUUUUAACAAAUAUAUUUAAAAGAGCAAUAUUACAUGUGUACCUAUAAUAUAAGUGUAGGACACAUUUGUUAUGAGAUUAAAGAGGGUGAAAUGUUAUUUUUGUAUGCUUUUAUAUUUUAUUAGCUAUGUUUGAUAUGCGGGAUGAACCUAUAAGGGAAGUGAACAUUUUAUCUUCCUUUAAUCUCCAACAAUAUGAAUUUAUUAAUCUUGGAGGUGACUAGAUUAAUAAAAGAUUAAAAGAGGUGAAAAAGAUAAAAUAUAUUUAAAGAGCAAGAUUUAUUCACUUGCCAAUCAAUUUUUUUUAAUACUAAAAAAAAAAAAUCUAAAAAUGACUUUUAGAUUUGAUGUUGGAAUAGUAAUCCAAACUUCAUCAAGAUUUGGGAAAAAUUAUAUUCAAUUUAAAUUAGUUGAAUAGAAUUAGAAGCGAUAGAGUUAAUCUUUAAGUUUUACUAUAAACCCCACACUAAAAUUGGUGGUCUAUGUUUUUGAUUAAUGAAAUAUUAGUGUAGUCUACUUAUUUUUUUUCUCUUUAACAUUUUUCUCCAUAUUAUUUUAUUUUAGUACUUUAGAUUUUGAAUUAUACAAUCGAUUAUUUCAAUAAUUGGCAUUAGAACAAAUCAUACUUCAACAAUUGAUAUCAGAACAAAUCAUACUCACAGUAAUAGAUAAUUGUUGGAGAGAAGAGUAUAUAAUGUAAAAAAAAUUGCAGCACAAUAUAAUAUUAAAAGAACUUUAAUUAACUUCUAUAAUUAAUUUCUAUUGGGUGGAUCCUCUAAGGGCCCGUUUGUUUUGGUGUAAGUGGAGUGAUGGAACUCAAGUUCCAUCACUUCUGUUAUUUGUUUUGAUAUAAGUGAAAAAUAUAAUGUAACUUAAGUUACGUUACAACUCCACUUCGCCUACUCUCGACUUUGUCCUCUAAAGUGCCGAACUCGACUUUCACUACACUCAACCUCCUCUAAAAAUUUUAUUAAACAGUAAAACCUAAACUCUACUUUCUUUAUAAUGGGUUAGAAUUACCUUAUUUAUAAUAAAUUAAGAUUAUCUUUAAAUAAUAAUAAAAAAAUUAAUUAUAUAAUAGGUUAAAUUUUAUAGUGAUAAAUUUAUUACUAUAUUUAGGAGAUAAUGGGAUCCACUUACUUACAUCAAAACAAAUAACGGAACUCAAAAAACUAAUUUUACCAGCACCAAGUUAUAUCAAAACAAACAGCAGAAGUGAUUGAAUUUAACUUUCAGUGGUACAAGUUACGUCAAAAUAAACAACAGAAAAAUAAUCACACUUCAGGGAAAGUCAAACACCACUACACUUGACUUACGUUGAAUCUACAAAUUCGUCAAUCCAAACGCUCCCUGAGAGAGGGAGGAGGUGGAUAACAAAGAAUUUACACGGUCAAAAUUCCAACCAUAGCACUAUUAUUGGACGGAUGUGAUGCUGCACAGCCCCAACACGACGACAAUAAUAACAGCAGAGAUUACCAAAUCAAUAUAUAUAUAUUUUAUCGUACAAUUCAUAUUAAUUGGCGGUCUAUAUAAAUAGGCAUCUUAGUCUUUAAAUUGAGUCCCAGUAGAUAUUUUUUCUUCAAUUCUUUCUAAUAUUUUUUAUUUUAAUAUUUUAAUAUUUUAAAUUGUAUAAUUAUAUUAGUGCGAAUAUCAAUUUAAAAUUACAAUUAUUGUGAAUAAUUGAUAUCAUUUUUUUUUAAAAAAAAAAAACCUUGGUAUUUUGUAUCAAGCCCAAAGGUCACAAACACGUGGACAUUUUCGGAAAUUUACCACCGUGGUCACGAAUGCAAGUCCACUUUGGUGGUGGCGAUAAUGAAUGGUUGGAAGCCCGAGACAAAGCAUGCAGACGACCGAGGAGGACUUCGGAUGCGCUGCUAAUCUCGGACAGAGCGCUUAAUGCUCCAUGUGAAAUCCCCAAACUGCCCCUACGUUACUCGGAGAAGAGAAACCCACACACUUUUGUUUGACAUAUGCGGAACCCACUUUACUGCAAACUCGUUUUUUUAAAUAACUUGCUGCUUGCCACUAAUUAGGGUCUGGGCUUUUUUUUUUUUUUUUUUUUAUAACUUCAAAUACCACUUAUGUUAUUUUGCAAUUUUUUUUAUUUUAGUAUUUUAUGAUUUAAAAUAAGAUAAAUUUUAAAUAUUCUCUUAUGAUUUUAUAUUUUCCCACUUUAGUAUUCUGUGGUUUAAAGUAUAUCUAAGUUAGCUCCUGUGGUUUCGCACUUUCUCACUUUAGUACCAUGCGGUUUAAAAUGUAUCAAAUUAGCCCUUAUGGUUUCGCACUUUCUCACUUUAGUACUCUAUAAUUUAAGGUGUAUCAAGUUAGUACCAUGUGGUUUCAUUUUUUUUAUUAUUCAUUUUACUAAUUUUUUUUUCGUUAAAUCAGUGACAAAGUUAAAAUUAAAGGGUACUAAAGUGAAUAUUCGAUAAACCUAUAUAGGAUAUGUGAAGUUUUUUUAUAUAAAUUAAUGAAAUAUAAACGUAGGAAAAAAAAUUAGUGACAAAAUUAAAACUAAAUGGUACUAAGGUAAAUAUUCGAUAAACCUAGGUAGGGUAUCUGAAGUUCUUUUAUAUAAUUUAACAAAAUAUUAACAGAGGAGUUGACGGAAAAAAAAAAUGAAACCACAUGGUACUAAAUUGAUGCACUGUAAACCACAGGUACUAAAGUGAGAAAGUGCAAAACCAUAGGGUACUAAAUUGAUACAUUUUAAACUACAAGGUACUAAAGUGAAAAAGUGCGAAAACACAUGGGUGGUAUUUGAAGUUUUUCUUUUAGAAUAUAUUAAUUUAGUAUUAUGUGAUUUUAUUUUUUUCUUUUCGUCAAUCACUCCGUUAACUUUUCGUUAAAUCAUGUAUAAAAAACUUCAGAUACUUUACCUAUACUUUAUCGAAUAUUCACUUUAUUAUCCUUUGGUUUUAACUUUGUCAUUAAUUUAAUAAAAAAAAUUAGUAGAUAGGAUAACAAAAAGAGAAAAAUAAAAUCAUAUGUACUAAAGUGAUACACUUUAAACCACAAUGUACUAAAGUGAGAAAGUGCGAAACCACAGGAGUGGCAUUUGAAGUUUUUCCUUUUUUUAAUUAGGGCUUUUUUUUUAGCAUUUAUCCUCUCUCAAUUUUUUUUAGGCUAAAUUACAGAAAACCUCCCUGUAAUAACCCGCUUUUUCACUUUCCCCCCCUGACAUUUAAAAACUUACACUUUGCCCUCUUGUAAAAUGAAAAAUGUGCACUUCACCCCUACCGUUAGGGUUCCGUUAGGGGUUCUGUUAAAAAAUAUUUUUUAUACCAAAAAUACCCCUCUGCCUCUUCUCUGAUGCUUCGUUCCCUCCGGGUCGCCGCUUCGCCGCCUCGCCGCCUCGCCGUCCUCCACUGCUUCGCCCUCGCCCACAUCCCUUUCGUCCUCCUCCGCCGCCUCGCCUUCGCCCUCGUUGUCCCUGCCUACCUCUUCAUCAACACCCAUCUUAGUAUCCUCCCUACUGUCGCCGAAAUCGAUGGGCGGCGAUGGUGUAGGAGGAGAAGGGGAGCAGGUGGAGAAGAAAUUGGAGAGGAAUCGUGGCCGAUUGAGGUGGAAAUAGCGGCGGAUCGAAGGGGCGGCUGAGAAAGCUUAGGAAGAAGCCAACAAUGGCGAGGGGCAAAAUGGUCAUUUUACACACCGUGACCCCCCUGUGAACAUUUUUCAUUUUACAAGGGGGUAAAGUGUAGGUUUUUAAAUGUCAGGGGAGAAAAGUGAAAAAGCGGGUUAUUACAGGGAGGUUUUUUGUAAUUUAGCCUUUUUUUUAUAAAUAGUCCUAACAAAUUUAUAUUUACACAUAUGAUUAUUUUUUUAAUCAUACAAGCACUGUAUUUGUAUUUUUAAGUUGAACACGGUAAAUGAAUCACCGUAUGGUAAUUAAAUUAUCAUGUUCAUAUUCACUCUUUAGUUCCUUUUUUUUUUUACUUAGGGGUGGAAAAAAUACAAAGGAAAACACGAUUCAUGUUCAACUUAAAAAUACCAUCGAAAUGCUUAUGUGGCUAGAAGAACGUUAUUUAUGCAAAUAUAAACUUUUUAGGGCAAUAUAUAAAUUUUUUUCGAAGGGGCUAAGUGCAACAAAAAAUUCUUUUAAUUAUUAUCUUAUUUAAAAUAAAAUUUAAAUUUUAAAUAAGAGUGAACAAAUUAAUAGUAGAUUUUUUUUGCAAUAAAAAUUUAUUUAGCAAUAAAAAAAUUAAAAUUGCUAGUAAGCUUUCUUGCUUUUAAUUUUUUAAGUAACAUUACCCAUAUACCUUAGACUAGAUUUACAUCUUAUAGCUAUUUCUCUGAGAUGAAAAAUUUACAAACGCAUAUCUAUAUUAUCUAUAUCUAUACUAUAUAUAAAAACAUAUAUUUUAAAUUUCGGUCUAUAGACAUACCUAUUUUUAACAAUAUAAAGAUAAGAAUAAAAUUAUAAUAAUAAGAAUAGGAAAGGGAGAAUAAACACGUAAUGAAACAAAUUUUUACUUUCUCUUUUUCUCUAACGAAUAAUUUUUUUUAUUAAAUAUUUUUAUAUCAUUCAAUAAUUUUUUCUUUUUUACCGUAUAUUUAAGAUUAUCUCAAUUUUAUCUAUUAAUAUUUAGUUAUUUAGUUGUUAUAUUAACUUUUUAUUCAUCGCAAUAAAAAUCAAAUUUAAAUUUAAUUUCAAAUAUAUAUAUAUAUCUAACUUUAAUAUUAUUUGAUUUAAAAUAUUUAUUUAAUCUGAAAUUCAAAGUUAAAAUUAAUUAUAUAAAUUAAAAUUAAAUUUAUGAUUUUUAAAAGUAAAAUUAAAAUUUGAGUUUAAAUCGUGAAUUAAGUAAAAUUUUGGAUAUUAAACUUGAAUUAAUAAUUAAAAGUUUUUAAUUAAAGUGGAUCAAGAUUAAAUUUUGUACUUUGUGCUAAACAUGAAUUACAAUUUUCAUACUUUUAGUUUAAAAGAUAUACUUAAAUUUUGAAUUUGUUAAAAUUUAAAAAUAUAUUCAAUGUAUAUUAGAAAAAAUAAAACUAUAUAAUUAUAGCCUCCAGCAACUAUUUGAGGCUUAGUUUGGUAUUGAAAUUCAUCUAACAUUAUCAGAUAAAAUGGAAUUGUGAUAAAAGUAUAUAGGAAUAUACUUCUACGUUCUCCGGUAGGACUGCGGAAAAUAUAUUGUAACCGACUCAUCGCGGAAUGCAAUAUAACGUACGGAAACAAAUAGGAUAUUUUUCCAACUGCUUUCUGAUCGUACGUAGACAGAUAUUUUCAAAUAAAAUAUAACGGAUGAAUUUAAAAAUAAAAAUAAAAUUUUAUUAUAAAUUAUUGGAUAAAUAUGGUGCAUAAAUUUAUAUUGAUUUGAAAUAACAAUUAAGAUAAUUAUUGAUAGAAUUAUUAUUUGGCAAUUUGAGUAAACAGAAAAAAAAAUUUAUACUUAUCCAAAUUUCUAGCGGUUGAUAGAUAACUAUUAUAGAAUAUUCUUCACACACGGCUAAACCUAGAAGUAUCAAAAUUUUAAUUCACAUUUAAUUUAAGUUUUGAAACUUAAUUUGAUUUACUUGAAUUAAAAUUUGUUAAUUUGUUAAUUCAAAUUUGAUAUCCAAAAUUAAAUUUAAUUCACAAUUUAAACUCAAAUUUUAUAGAACCAUAUAAUUAUUGUCCACAAUUACUAUUUAAAUAUGAGUUAGAAUAUAGCGGUUAUUUUCUAAUAAAUAUAACAAAUGAAUUACUUUUUGAAACUUUAAAUUUUUAUUGUUGAUUGUAAAUUUUUGAAUAAAUAUGAUUUAAAAUUUUAUGUUAAUUUGGGAUAACUAUUAAGUGCACGUAUACUCAACUAUAUAUAUAGUUGUAUAUAUAGUAUUUUUUAUAUAUUUUUUAAAAAUAUUAUUUAUUAUCGGAUCGAAAUAUUUAUAAAAUAAAAAAUAACAACAAUAAGAAAUCUCUAAUUUCACUAAUUUAAUUAUAAUAUAAUUUUGAAGCUCUCAUCCAAAAAAAACUUGAGUGGGGAUACACCGUUUAUUAGGUGUGAAUCUUACAUUUCUCUUAUCGGAGAACUCUCAGGGUGUGUUUGGUUUCCCAUUUUUUACUAUGGAAUUUGAAUUAGAAUGGAUGAAUUCGUUUGUCCGUUUUUGGUAUUCGGAAUUUUUAUUCCGAUUUCAAUUUUUGAGUUAAUGAGAAUCGUUCCAAUUACCUCUUUUCCAAUUCUUAGGUCGGAUUGGAAAUUGAAUUCAGUUGGAAUGGAUUUGUUCAAAUUAAAUUUAACUUUUUAAGUUUAUUUUUAAUUAAAACAUAAGUUUAAGUUUAAAAGUUAUAUUUAUAAAUUUAAAUUUUAAUUUGAACUUAAAUUAAAAAUUAAAAUUCAAUCAAGCAUUUCAAAUCUAAUUUAUAAAUUUAAUUUUAAAUUUAAUUUAAAACCUAAAGCUUUUUCCAAAUUUUAUUUAAAGUUUAAAUUAAAUUUAUGGAUUAAAAUUAAAAUUUUAUAUUUGAAUUUGAAUAAAUUGAAAUUUAAUUUUAUAUUUUGAAUUAUCCACUCAAUUUUAAAUUUUAAAUUUUAUUUUUUUUUAAAAAUAUAUUUAAAAUUUUGAUAUUGUUUUAAAUUUUGAGGUAAAUUUUUGAUAUUUAAUUUUUAAUUUGAAUUUAAAUCUAAUUUAUUAUAAAAAUAAAAUUAGCAUAUUAAUUUAAUUAUGUUUAUAAUAUCUAUCUGAACGAAACACCGUCAAUGAAAAUGGUUCAUUCUAUUUCUGAUUCAGAUAGCGAACCAAACAAAAUAAGGUAACAGAUUAUUCCGAUUCCGUAUUCGAACCAAACACACUCUUACUCUAUACUUGUCAUAUUAAAUUUUUUUCAAUAAAAAUGAUGAGAAAUUAUCUGAAUCAUAGACUAUUUUGAAUGGGCUAUAUAAAUUUUUAAAAUUUUAAUUUUACUAUCCAAUUUUUUAAUUUAUUUAAGUUGAGUCAGUUAACAACACAUCGACUUCAAAAUUUAAAUUAAUUACUAAAUUUAAUAAAUUUACAAUUAUAAAAAUUAUAUAAAAUAUGUUAAUUAAUUAUGUAAUGAUACCUAAAAUAUUUAAAAUUUAAAAUUAAAAUAUUAUUGACGGACUUAAAUUAAAUAAAUUAAAAAAUUGGUUCAUAAAAUCAAAAUUUCCAUAAAUUGGGAAGCUAAAUUAAUUAAUUUAAAUAAUUCCGAUUAAUUUUUAUUAUUUUUUAACUAAAAUUUUAAAAAAUUAUGAAUCUUUAAAAAUGUAUUAUAGUUAUGUUGCAUAGAUUUAUCUUUCUCAAAAAAAAAAAAAUGUUGCAUAGAUAUAUAUAUAGCAUUUUAUAAAAAGCUAAAGAAGUAUAUCACAUAUCUCCAAAUGACACAGUAGACCAGGUCCAUACCUUACGCGCGGUCGUAACUUGUAACGGCAUCUGCCGCAUUUUACCUGGUUCGGUCCACGAGCGACUCGGUAGACCGGGUUCAUCAACAAUUGCCAAUGAAAUAACGGCGGAAAGCCCGAAGACCUCUCUCCACCCAAAAAUAUAAAAAAAAAAUCGAAAACCCAAAAACUAAAAAGAAAAAAAAAAUCCCAUCGUUAGACUCUCGAAAUUGAUGCCCUUAUUUCCCAAAAUACCCCUACUAUUUUACAAAAAAGACCCGGCCUUGUAUCCCAACAAACCCUACGUCACCACGAGCGCGACCUUUCACAGCGAAAGGACGUUUGUUGGUGACCCUAACGGUCAAUGACGGACGUCAGAAAUCCAACGGUCAAAAUAACCUCCGUCUUUUUUCUGUCAAUCACAACCGUUGGAUCUCAGCGGUGGUCCAGUGGGCGUGACGAAAUGCGAGUAACCGCGAAGGGCAAUUCCGUUAGGUGACACCGUUAAGGACAAUUUCGUAAUACUAAAUAAGGGAUGGGCCCUGACACGUGGGCUCAGUGACCUGACACACAAUUGCGUUAAACAAACCACCCCCCACUUUAAAGAACCCACUUUAAAGCGUCGCACCGUCCCGUCCGCAUAUUUAUUUCUAUGCUCCAAGCAAUCUCAACCGUUCACAUAUCCCGUAGUUGAUUAUUCGACUGCCACGUGGAAGAAAUCUCAGAAAGGGUAAUUAAUAUAGAGAUCCCUUAGCCUCCGUUUGGUUCGGAGUUAAGAAAAAAAUAGCUAUUCCAGAAAUAGAGUUAAGUUCAGGAUUAAAAUGAGAUUAAAGUUUUUUUUUUGUUUGGUUGGGGGUUAGAGUUAGUCUAGAAUAAUAAAAAAUAGUGUUUGGUUGGAGUAGGUGGGAUAAAGAAGAUAAUAAUUGAUAAAAAAAGAUAAUGAUUGGUUGGAGUAGGUGUAAUAAGAAAGAUAGUGAGUUAUUGUGAAUAGAAAAUAAUGUUUGGUUGGAGUUUGGUAGGAUUAGAUGGAAUUAGCUAACCCGAAAUAAUUUAUUUGCGGUGGGGCCACCAAUUUUUUGAAGUGUUUGGGAGAUAAAAUGGGGGUUAAAGGAUUAUUCCACCCCUUAACCCACAACCAAACAAGGGCUUAGUUUUUAUAUUUUUUUAAAAGAACCGAACUUUUAAUACUUGGAUAUAACUUUUCUCGUUUUAAUUUUUUAUAAAUAUCUCAUAUUUUUUUAAAAAACCUAAAAUAUACUAUGAACAUUUUUAUUUUAAUAUUCUCUUUCACAAAUUCUUCUGUAGGAAUGUCAUAUACAUACAUAUUAUUUUACUAAAUUUUUUACUUCUCCUAAAUAUUCUUAAAUUUUAUUAACAAAAACGUAGCAGGACUUUUUUAAAUAAAUUUGUUUAUUUAAAAUUAUACGCGUAAAGAUGAAAAUUAGGGGUCAUUUUGGAAUUAUCUUAAAGGUCAGGAAGUUAUAUAGAAAUCUCUCCCCCGGAAGUAAAACAGAGGGUGGGGAUUCAGUGUCAAAGGAAUUUAACAGUGGAUACGAGGUGGCGCAUAGGAAAGAUUAUGGAGUCGUGGGGUUAGGGUAAAUUAAUUCUCCUCCGCUACGGCGUGAGGUGUGACCGUGUGAGAGGACUACUAGAAGAGGAAGUUCGGAGAGGAGUAAAGAGAGAGAGAGAGAGGGGAGGAGAGAGAGAGAGGGGUGAAGCGAAAAGGCGAUUCGGAGAGAGUCGGCGCUCUCCACAUCCUCUUCGUCUUGUUCCAUUUAGGGUAAAAUCUUUUGAAUCCCCUUUUGCAGUGAACUGCGAUGAGAUUUUAGGGUUUGUACGUGUUUUAUCGUCGUCGACGAUGAAAUGUGUAGAGGUUUUCUGUUUUCUUUUUUAUGUUUUUGCAUGCUUUUGCCCGUUACUUAGUUGGUUCUCGAAGAAAUCUAGGGUCUGUAGAGGUUUUAUGUGUUUUUUGGGUCUCGUGUUCGAUUUUGGAGGUUUUUUGUGGUAGAUGAGGGUUUUAUGGGGGGUUUAAGGUGUGGUUUGAGUUUUUUUGGUGUGAUUUUGAAGGGAUUUUGAGAGCUAAAGCAUAAUUUCGUUUAAACCCCCCCUGAUUCGUGAAGUUUUCCUUAGAACCUAUGAAAUGCGGUUUUAUUUUUACCCUGGAGCUAAGAUUUUUUUUGCUUAUUUUUGAGGAUUUUUUUUGUCAUUUUUGGUGUCUUAGGGAAUAUUCUGUGGAUUUGUCUAAGUACUAUGUGGUUAUGAUCUCUGUUUUACGUGUUGAUCGUUUGUGAUUCACAUGCCUGCGCUUCGCGUCGGUUUCUUCAUGAUCAGAGAUUUGCCUAGUAUUUUUUUUUUCUUCGCUAAGUUCAUGUGUUUUUUUAUUUCCAAGUUUCAUUGUUUCGUAAGAACACUAUUGUUAGUGACACACUUGUGUUCGUCUUUGUCAGAAAUUUUGCGUCCAAGAACCCUAGUGGAUCCGUUAGUUUUGAAUUUUUUUGGGUAUAUAUUGGUGCAUUGUUUGAGCUUUUUUGUUUUCUUUAUUUUGGGACUUACAGUGGAUGCUAUUUUUCACUUGGGUAACUAAUAUUAAUGUUUUUACACUGUGAUUUAGAGCUGGAGUGGCUAUUGUUUCACCAAUGCUCAUAUGAAGAAGCUGAUUCAUAUUAGAGUUAUGUAGCAUUUCAUUAUUUAAGUAGUUGAAGCUUCAUCACUGUAUUUCAUUGUGCUGCAGUAGAGUUUAUUUUAUUUUAUUUUAUUUUAUUUUUUUUUCUAGCAGCUUUGGUCUAGGUUUAGUGGCAGUAACUGGUUGAUUGGACUAUGUAAUUGUGCUGCUUGUACUAUGCUCUCUUUUGUUUGUUUAAUGAAUCUUCUCUUUUCUACAUGCUUUUGUCCCUUAGUUGCUUUUUGGAUGGAAUCUAGGGUUUAUACUUGUUUGUGUGCUUCCUUUUGUCUCGUGUUCCUCUUGUACCUUUUAUUGAUGUUCUAGGGCCUUGGGGUUGAAGUAGUAGUGGCAGGAUUUUAUAUUCGGUGAAGGAUGAUCUCAUUGAUAAGGCAUAAUCUUCAUGAAUUUUCCUGAAAGUUUCUGAAAAGUGAUUUCUGAAAACCCUGGAGUUAAAUUUUUGAUCCUUUUGGAAAUUUUUUGGUUUGGAACAUAUUUUGUGGAUAUGUACAGUUGUCUGAGUACUUGGUCUCUGCUGCAAAUUUGGUAUGUUGUUUCUCUCAUGUUUGUGUGCUUACUAGCUCUUGUUGUGAGUACCAGAAUCUUUAAUGUUUUUCUUCAUUAUGAUUAGUUAGUGUUUUCUGUGCAUGUAGUUUGUAUCGUCGUGCUAGACUGUAAUAUAUUUUUGUUUGCUAUGAGUUUCAAUAUCACUAAAUUUAUGCUUGCUGUUUUAUGCUCAUUGCGUGUAAUAAGUGGUAGAGCUCAUGCAUCUUCGCGUUUACAUUUUCUAGAAUUUCCUUUAAAUACUUUGGUUUUCAGAAUCCUACGACAGCAUGCUCUGAUUUUGGCUCUUCACUUAUUGUGUUGUACAAGCUUUGUUCGUUUAGCAUUUUUUUGGGGGAAUUUUCUGUAGAAAAAUAUAGGUUUGCUUACAGUUUAUUGAUUGCAAGGGUUGGGUAGGUUUUUUUUUGGCUGUUUACAUGUCUUUUAUCUGUCUACUAAGUUCGCUUUCUUUGAAUUAGCCUGUUCGAGUGUCAGCAGAUUAAACUUUACAUUGUAAGGAUCUUUUGUUAACGUUUAACUGUAUUAAACUGAUACAAUGUUUCAUGUUGUGGGUAAUGAUAUUGCAGUAGUUAUUUUGGAGAUGGAGCCCCACAAUGGAGUAGAUGGAGAGGAUCUCCCCCCUCCUCCUCCAAUACCUCCGAAUGUUGUACCAACAAAAGCUGAUUCGGACAGAAGUUCUCCGCCGAAAAAGGCAGCAAAGCCUAAACGGGUGCAAGCACAGAGGCCAGGUGUUGCCCGUCGAGGACAGCAAAUACCUCUGUAUGCUAAUCAUUUUAAAGUUUCCGUCCGGAGCACUGAUGACUACUUUUAUCACUACAGUGUAUGCAUAAUUCUCUGCUAUCAUACUUUCAUAUUCUUCGGUUAUCCUUCUGUUGCCAAAAUCGUGAGUAAUCUGGUUGAACCUGUGGUAAAAACAGGUUUCCUUGAAGUAUGAAGAUGACCGCCCAGUUGAUGGAAAGGGAGUAGGGAGAAGAGUAAUUGACAAACUACGCCAGACUUAUGACUCUGAACUGGGGAAUAAGGACUUUGCCUAUGAUGGUGAGAAAAGCCUUUUCACACUAGGCUCUCUGCCUCAUGUGAACAAUGAAUUUACUGUUGUUUUGGAGGACAUUUCCUCUGGCAGGUAGUUUGGAUUCCUGCUAAUAUAUUCUUGGUUUUCUCUAGCUGUCUGCAUGGUAUAGUUUUUUCUGUAAUUUUGUUUUAAUAUAAUUCCUCAAUGUAGAACUGCUGGAAAUGGAAGUCCUGGUGGAAAUGACAGCCCGGGAGAAAGUGACAGGAAGCGUGUUCGCCGGCCUUAUCAGACAAAGGCCUUUAAAGUUGAGCUUAGUUUUGCAGCUAAAAUUCCUAUGCAAUCCUUAGCUCAAGCCUUGAAGGGCUAUGACUCGGAGAACUCCCAAGAAGCGUUACGGGUGCUUGAUAUUAUCUUACGACAACAUUCGGCAAAACAGUAUGUUGUGGAAUGAUGCGUCUUAAUUUUUUUUAACUUAGUUGUCUAGCUGUGUUUUUUAACUUAGUUGUCUAACCAUGUUCUGAUUUUGUGUUUGCCUGCAGGGGAUGUCUACUUGUCCGCCAGUCCUUUUUCCAUAACAACCCAUCAAAUUUUGUUGACUUGGGCGGGGGUGUCAUGGGAUGCCGAGGGUUUCACUCCAGCUUCCGUACCACACAAAGCGGCCUUUCACUAAAUAUUGGUAUCGUCGCAAUCUUCUUGUUAAUGUUUAAUAGUUUCCUGUUGUUAUUGCUUGCUACGUCUAGUGACUCGCAGUUUGUUGGCCAUGUAUUUCUAAUGCUGAUCUUGUGGUCUUUUUUCUCUGUGCAGAUGUCUCAACUACUAUGAUUGUUAAACCAGGUCCAGUUAUUGACUUUCUUCUGCAGAACCAAAAUGUUAACACUCCAUAUCAAAUUGACUGGGCUAAAGUAAGUACAACUUUUGUAACGUAAUUUGGAAGGACGGUAGUAUAUUUUGUUUAAAUUUAGUAAUUAUCACACUAGUAGAUGUUGUUAAUUUAUUUAUUUUAAUGUCCAGAAAGGACCUCACAUGGUUCUAUUUGGUGGUGGUACAGGCUAAGCGCAUGCUGAAAAAUCUGAGGAUAAAGACAAGUCCACAAAAUACUGAAUACAAGAUUGUUGGCUUGAGUGAACUGCCGUGCAAUGAGCAAACGUAAUUAUUUCUUUGAAUUUAUAUGAUGUGUACUUAACCUUUAUCUUACCAUGAAUGUUUAAAAUUUACUCACCAAGAGAAUUCAGGAGAAAUCGAAGUCAACAUUACUCAUGGUUCUUUUGUAUCUUUGAUGCCUUAUUUAUCGAUUUCAUGGAGUAGAUUGAAUUUGUAUGUUGUUAGCUAAUGUCUGUCUGUCAUUAUUGUUUCAUCAGGUUUGUAUUAAAGCAGAGAAAUGGUAGGGAUGGAAAUGGUGAAGAUUUCCAUACUUCAGAAAUAACAGUCUAUGAGUAUUUUGUUAAACAUCGGAAUAUUGAGUUAAGGUAUUCGGCUGAUCUGCCAUGCAUUAAUGUUGGAAAACCAAAGCGCCCCACGUACAUUCCCAUGGAGGUCUGUUUGUUUUUUAAUUUAUUUGUGGAAGUAUUUUUAGUUUUCGAUGCUUAUAAAUUUGUUGAUGCUUCUUUCACUUCCCAGUUAUGCAAUUUAGUAUCACUGCAAAGAUACACAAAGGCUUUAUCUAACCUUCAACGUGCCUCACUGGUGGAGAAAUCGAGGCAGAAGCCUCAAGAGAGAAUGAGGGUUUUAAAUGAUGUGAGUCUCUCUUCUUCUCUCUAUUCGUGUGCGCGCAUGCGUGUGCGUAUGUCUGUUUGUGUGUCUGUGUGUCCUCGCUUGUCCUUAGUUGUCUCCGUUUUUUUGCCCUCUAUGUAGGCCUUAAAGCACAGCAAUUAUGAUUCUGAGCCAAUGCUGCGGGCUUGCGGUAUUUCCAUUGCUACAAGUUUUACACAAGUGGAAGGCCGUGUUUUACCAGCCCCAAAGGUUAGCAUCAACAUUAAAAACUAUCAGUUAUGAUUACUAUAUUCCUUGUUAAUGCUAACAAACUUUCUUGACCAAUAGCUGAAAGUUGGUAACGGUGAAGAUUUUCUUCCACGAAAUGGGAGAUGGAACUUCAACAACAAGGUCAUUUUUUGUUGUUCUAUUGCUUCAUCCCAUAACUUUUUGAUUAUGAUAAAAAAAGAAAAUUCGCUGUUUUCCUUUUUGCAGAAACUGGUUCAGCCCUCAAAUGUUGAUCGCUGGGCUGUGGUCAAUUUCUCGGCUCGUUGUGAUAUCAGGUCUCUUGUCCGAGAUCUGAUCAAAUGUGGAGAUAUGAAAGGAAUUGUAGGUUAUCCUUGUUAUCUUGUUACUCUUUGUGUCCUUUUAAUCUGUAUUUAUUCAUUGCUAUUUUUUUGCUACUCUUUAGUCCAUUGAGCAACCAUUCGAUGUAUUUGAAGAGAGUCCUCAGUUGAGGCGAGCUCCUCCCACUGCUAGGGUGGAAGACAUGUUUCAACAAAUUAAGACAAAGCUUCCAGGAGCACCACGUUUCCUUCUCUGCCUUUUGCCUGAGCGGAAGAACUGUGAUGUUUAUGGUCUGUUCUGUGAAAUUGCACUUUCACCACUCUUAUGAUCCUUUUCUUAGUUUCUGGCCAUGUUCAAUGAUAGGACCUUGGAAGAGAAAAUGCCUCGCUGAAUUUGGAAUUGUCACACAAUGCAUUGCUCCAACUAGAGUCAAUGAUCAGUACCUUACAAAUGUGCUCCUAAAGAUUAAUGCCAAGGUCCAUUUUUUAUAUGCUUUUUGUCAAAUUAUAAUUUCCUUUUGUUUUAAAUCUUAAAUUGCUUUCUUAUGGCUAUGAACAGCUGGGUGGAAUCAACUCGUUGUUGCAUGUUGAGCAUACUCCUGCUAUUCCUCUGGUGUCUAAGAUGCCCACAAUUAUCUUGGGGAUGGAUGUUUCCCAUGGACAGCCAGGGCAAUCUGAUGUGCCAUCAAUUGCUGCUGUAAAUAUAAAUUCCAUCUUUGUUGGGUGCUUGGGUUUUUUUUCUUUUUCUUUUUGAAAAAAAUAUAGCUGACCUUGUCCCUGUGUUUGUUUGGUGGAAAUUGUUAGGUUGUUAGUUCUAGACAGUGGCCUCUCAUUUCAAAGUAUAGGGCAUCUGUCCGAACCCAGUCGCCAAAGGUGGAAAUGAUAGACUCCUUAUUUAGACCUACUGAAAAUGAUGAUCAAGGAAUAAUGAGGUCAAACUUUUCUGCAUUUUUUGGAUUCUUUGCUUUACUGUAUAUAUGACAAGAAUUUGCUGUAUAUAUGACAAGAAUUUGCUUUUAGUCUGAUAGUUGAAUUCUUUUAUGAGGGUUAUUCCUCUGUCGAUUCCCCUUUAUGGCUUGUUAUUUCAUAUAUCUUCUGCUCCACUCAUCAGUGUCAGAUGGUUAUCUUUACUAAUUUCGAAUUCACACUUCAGGGAACUGCUGGUUGAUUUCUACACCAGCUCAGGAAAAAGAAAGCCUGAUCAAAUUAUUAUUUUCAGGUAUUUUUCCGGCUGUUUCUGUCAGUCGACGUUUCUUCUCACGGUUUAGAAAAUUGUGUCUAUUUUGUACAUAAUACUAAAAAUUUCAAUAAAGUAUACUUGACAAUUAUGGUAGCACAGGAAGUUCACUUUUCUUUGUAUUCUUUAUGUAGUAAUGUUAAUGAACAUUGCUGCGUGCAGUCGUGGUAACAUAUUUGGGCUUGCAAUGACAUUGUUGCGGGUUCAACCUGUUGAGAGCAAGUACUUCAUGAGAUACUCAAAAUUAUGCUCUGAUGGGACCAUUUUAUUCCCUCUGAUGCUUUAUGCUGUACUUCAUUCUUGACCUGUAUGGCUGUAACUUUCUAACGUAAUUUGCUAAUUUGCUGGCCUGGCAAGCUUUGAUAAAUGAAUUUCAAGGAAGGCUGUCUUCAUUCUUUUUAUUCUGUUGUUUUGUAUAUUCGCAUCUUGUGUUUGUUCAGACUUUGAUGCGGCUCUGUAUUUCCCUUUUCACUAAGAAUUCGCCUUUCACCUGUCUAUUCCUUGAUGUAGGGAUGGAGUAAGUGAGUCUCAAUUCAAUCAGGUUCUAAACAUUGAGCUGGAUCAAAUCAUCGAGGUAUUUAUUUUUCUUCAUUUCUUUUCAAGAAUGUCCUUUCGAACUCUAAUAGAGGUAAACUAGUUUAUAUAUAAAUUCUUUAUUAUUGUUGCAGGCAUGCAAGUUUCUGGAUGAACAGUGGUCACCGAAAUUCACAUUGAUUGUGGCACAGAAAAACCACCAUACUAAAUUUUUCCAACAUGGAUCCCCUGAUAAUGUCCCUCCUGGUAAGCCUCUCAAAUUUCGAAGAUACAAAAUAAGCCUAAAUUUCCUUUCCUCUAGGAAAAUGUGCUAGUUCGAUCUGUCUGAGGUACUUGAUGUUUAUUUUGUCAUGUGCAGGCACUGUUGUUGACAGUAAAGUCUGUCAUCCACGCAAUUAUGACUUCUACAUGUGUUCGCAUGCAGGGAUGAUAGUAAGUGCCUGGCAUAGAAUUUACUUUUACCUGUGGGUAUUUUAGUAUUCAAUACAUUAAAUGCUUUUUAACUCCACUAGAAAUUUAUCAUGCGGUAAUGGUUUUCUUACUCUGCCUUAUUGGUACUUAUUUUUGCUUAUUGGUGUUCUACUUGUAUAGUUUAGAUUUCCCUGCGAUUUUCUACUCGAUAUACUUUUCUUAUACAUCUGGUGAUAUAGGGUACUACUAGGCCCACACACUACCAUGUGCUUCUUGAUGAGAUAGGAUUCUCUCCCGAUGAUCUUCAAGAGCUAGUUCACUCGCUCUCUUAUGUGUAAGUAAAUGAAAGUUGUGGGCAUGUCUAUUUGAUCAGCUAUGAUCUGAAACCACCCAUUUUACUAAUAAUAAUUUAUCUAACUUUCAGCUACCAAAGGAGCACCACUGCUAUCUCUGUUGGUAAGCUUAUUUGUUCUCACCGUCUGGUUAAAGCUAAUUUGACUUUGUUCUAUGUAGUCUGAAGUCUUUAGCAGUGCUUCUUGUGUCAACACAACUUGAUUAAUAUUUGUUGGUUUGCUGCGGUGAUGGGGCUAAGAUGAGCUAUUUGCUCGAAAAGCAGGAGCUCAAAGUUGAAGCUUCACCUUUUGCUUCGCAGAGCUUCACCUUUUGCUUUGCAGAGAAGUGUACCAGGGAUUGCGAUGAAACGGCUGUUAAUGCUGCAGGACCAAACAGGCCAUUGUUUUGAUCCUAUAUAUGGAUGGAUCCAGCUCACUUGCGCUAGUUGCUUUCAUUACUUUGUUAGUUGGAAGUAAUUGAAUUCAUGGAGGGUAGUUAAAACCUGUUAGAAAAAGCUUUUGAACAGGAGGCGCAUUUUUGUCAGCGGGUAUAUGUUGGAGACGUUUAGCAGUUGAGGAGCAUAUAUGAAAAUACAGAUUCUGUAGUGAAAUAUAUAUAUAUAUAUAUAUAUAUAUAUAUAUAUAUAUAUAUAUAGUCCGGCUGGGAUACUAUCGAUAGCACCAAGACUUUGGUAUCGAGUUUUCCACCAUUAGAUUUAACCCUUUGAUUAUUUUUACCCGUUAGAUUGUACUAUUCAACCAACCACUCACUCAACCUUAGGGGGCCCACAUCAUAUCAUCUUAACCGCAUAUUUCUCAAUCCAAGGGCUAAAAAACUAAUAGCACCAAUAGCUUGGUGCUAUUAAUAGUAUUCCAGCUUAGUUCUAUAUAUAUAUAUAGAAUUGAGCUCCUAUACUUUUAAAAGUACCAAGUUAUUGGUGCUUGUAGAUUUUUAUCCAUUGGAUUAAGAGAUAUGCGGUUAGGAUGAUGAGGGCCCCCUAGGGUUGAGUGGGUGGUUGGUUGAAUAGCAUAAUCUAAUGGUUGAAAAUAAUCCGAGGAGUAGAUCUAACGGUAAAAAACUUACAAGCACCAACCAAGUGCUUGGUGCUUUUACAAGCACCAUAGCUGGACUCUCUCUCUCUCUCUCUAUAUAUAUAUAGAGAGAGAGAGAGAGAGAGAGAGAGAGAGAGAGAGAGAGUUGAGCUAGAAUACUAUCGAUAGCAAACGGAUUCCAUUGCCACCCAUUUGUUUUCGAUGAUGGAGCCUCCAAAUUGACAAUCGGCAUCGUUGAACAUAAUCUAUAUCACUUGAAAGUGUUUAGAAAUCAAAUUUCAUACAUUUCUGAUAUUAUUCUCUUAACUAUUGAGUGGACACAAAAAUGAACGGCUGAAAACGAAUGUCUUUAAAAAAUGAUGAUAGGAGUCUUGUAAUCAAGAUCAAGAGUAUUGAUCUUGUUUUAUAUAGUUUAAAAAAUUUUCUAACAAAAAAUCAAUUGAUUUGGAUAUCUUUAUGCCGUUAAACGAGAAAACGCCUCAUAUUGACCAGUAAAAUUACAAAUUUUGAAACUCUUUGAUCAUUAGGCAAAUGAUGUCGAAAAGAUUUGAAAUUUAAUUUCUAAACACUUCAACUGGUAGAGAUCAUGUUCAACGGCACCGAUUGUCGAUUUGGAAGCUCUAUCAUCGAAAGCAAAUGGGUGGCAAGUGGCAAUGGAGCCCGUUUGCUAUCGAUAGUAUUCUAGCUCAACUCUAUAUAGAAUCCAGCUGCUAUCCUUUUAGGAGGAUAGAGACCUUCGUCCUAUCAAAUCGUUUUUGAUGAUGGAGAUCCCAAAUCGAUGAUCGAAACCGUUGAAGUUGAUCUAGAGCAUUUAAAUUAUCUAGAAACUAAAUUUUAUAAAAUUUAAAAUUUAUAUAUAUAGUGAUCAAAGGUUUGCAAAAUUGACAGUUUUUGAUUGGCCUAUAUCAGCUGUUUGCUUGUUUAACUAUGUAGAGUAAUCCAAACUGGUUGAAUUUUUAGGUAGAAAAUUUUUUAUAUUAUUUAGAUAAUGUUUAAUAACUCUGAUCGUAAAUUGAGAAAGUCUAAUCUCUAUUUUCAGAAGGUCGUCAUUUGUUUUUGACCGUUCAUUUUUUGACUCUUCGAUGGACUUUGAGGAUAUAAUACAUGUAAAUUGAUCUUACAAUGUCCUCAGUUUCUGAAAUGUUUAAAUUCUCAGUUGCGCCAAUCUGCUAUGCACAUCUGGCUGCCACGCAAGUUGGUCAGUUUAUGAAGUUUGACGACUCGUCUGAGACUUCCUCGAGCCAUGGAGGGCAUACCUCGGCCGGGAGCAUUCCUGUCCCGGAACUGCCGCGGCUUCACGAGAAAGUGAGCAAUUCCAUGUUCUUCUGCUGAGAUUGGCUUUGGUUUGCUUAAUAUUGUAUGCGGAGCCAAUUUAGUUUUUUGGGGUUAACGGGGUGUUUGACCACCCAGCUAACUUUAUUGUAUAUAUGACUGCCGGUGUGAUACUCCUGCUUAGGAUGGUCUCUAGACUCAGAUCCUGGGAUUGUUUUGUUUUGAACUAGCUGUUCUGUUUUGUGAAGCCUGACCUGGUUGAUUGACAAUUUCUUAGUAUCUCUCUUAACAUGACUAUAUGUUGCUUUUGUUGGGAAAUUUGUGCAGUUGUUCUAUAUUGCUUCAGUUGUAGGGUGAAUAACACCAUAUGUUACUGAACUUAUCAUGACAUCUACAGUAGAUGAUACAGCGGCUGAGUUCUCUGUUUGGAAACGGUAUGGUUGGCUGCAAAUUAAAAUUUCUAAAUUAAACUGGGCUCGAAAUAAGUGGCAGAUGUUGUGGUUUACCUUUAGUUGCGGAAUAUUGUUGCCAUUCGCCGAUGUUUACUGUGCUUGUUCUUGUUGGUAUUAGCUACGUUUUUGAGUUGCAUGGCUUCAGCUGGUUGUGUACUAUGAAUGCUUAUUCGCCUUCUUAGCCCGUUGUGGUCUAUAUUUUAUUUUGUGGGGUUAUUAUUGCCGGUUUACUGAAUAGUGGCUCCUGUAUAAAUGAUUAUUCCAAUUACUGUGCAUCUCUGUGCUUAUGAUCUUUGUUUGCUGGUGAUUUUUUGUACCAUGAGUGGAGAGCAUUGUAUGCCUUUAAUGAGGGGGGUUCUAUAGAUUGAAUAAUGAUUUUAUUCUUUGUUUGGUUGAUAACUAUAACCCUGUUUUGCAGCCGUUGGAAGUUUUAUGAUAAAUAAAAAAAGCAUGGAGAUGGGUGAAUGUUGCACCCACCAGAUUUCUUUGGCUCACUUGCCAGUUAGAUAUUCGAACAGGUAUUGCCGCCUUAGUAAGUGAAUUGUAAUGUGAGGAGUUAUGAUUCGGUCAGUGACCUGUGCAAAAUAGGGCGUUCGUGUGCCUAUCCUGUAACCAUUUGAGGUCAUGCUCAAAUGCUUGUUCCUGUGGCGUGGCAGCCGCUACUUACUGCAAUUUUGCAGUGCCUUCUUGUCAUUGCGCUCGAAAGGACCUCCCCACUGUACUGAGAUUCUCUGUUCAAAAUACAAAUUGUGUAAAGGCUCUUCCGAAGGCUGUAAAUUUCAUUUAUACUGUCUUUCUCCCUGCCUGCCGAGCCCGUGACUCUGUACAUGUCUCCGCUGCCGCUGACCAUCUCGAGCGCCUUUUUGAUUACGAAAUCAAGGAAAUUUAUAUCUUCACAGCAUCUCAGUGUUUUGCUUGAAGAAACAUGGACUGCGGUAGUAGUCCUGCAUGUGCCACCUUCACACUGCCUCUCUAGCCAUCGACCUCCCUCAAAUCAUGGUUUGUCGUCUACCUCUCCACUUUCGCUGAGGGUAGCUAUUUCUACUGCCGCAUAGGGCGCCCACGGAAGCGCGAGUACCUCUGCUGCAGUCCCAAGUCUUCACUGGUUGUCACCAUGGCCAACCAUCUCUGCUGCGACAUUUACGACCUCGACAAUGUGUGGAAGAGAGAGCGAGCAGUUGCUGAAGGUGGGGUAGUGGAGGUGCCUUGUGUUCUACAACGCUGCGAGAAAAGAACUAAUGGUGAAAGGCGCGGGCUCUCUUCGAGGCCAUUCGGGCACUCACGCAGCUCCAAAGUGCGAGCGACGCCGCGGUAGCAGGGUUGUGGUAGUGGUUAGAGAGGAAGCAGAGAGUGAAAUGAAUGUAAGAAGAUGUAAAAAUAGAAAUAAAAACUCUUUUUUUUUCUUUUCUUUCCUUAUCUUUUUUCUUCUUUAUUCUUUUUAUAUUUAAAAAAUAAAAACAUCUCACUAUUUGUAACUUUCUCGUAACGUUUCACAAAUUAUCGACAAUAAAAAAAAUUAUAUUAUUUAAUAAAUAUUAUAAGUUAUAAAAUAGUGUAAUGUACUGUCACAUAAGAAACUGUAAAAUAAAAAAUAUUAUAUUAUAUUAUAUUUAAUAAGUAUAUUUAUAUAAUAGUAUAAGAAGCAGUAAACAGAGCGCCACACUCUCUCUCUUUGCCUAUUGGGACCGCCAAGAGGCGACCAGAUGCGUGAAACGCAAUCAUAACCGUCCAAACUUUGAACGGUCGGGAUCACUUCCGGGCCAGUCACGCUUGAUCCGUACACCGUAGGAUAUAAUCGUAUAUCCCUCCCCUCGCUCCUCCUCCUUUCUCCGAAACCCUAGCCGACCAAAUCCCCCCAAAUCUCUCCCACUGCACCUCCCCCUCCCCCCUUCCCCACUCUCUCUCUCUCUCUCUCUCUCUCUCUCUCUCGCCCCCGCGCCAUCCAUGGCGAAGAAGCGAAAGCUCUCGGUGAAGGCGGAGGCGGCGGUGGCGGAUUCCACCUCCGAAGCCCCCGUCGACGCCCUCAACGAGGAGCACCCCGAGGAGCCCAUGGAAGAACCCUCCAAGGAGGAACCCUUCGACGAGGACGACGCGCUCAACCAAGAAGCCCUACUCCUAGAGCCCUUCCCCAAGGACCAGCUCGUGGAGCUCCUCCGCGACGCUGCCGUGAACCACCGCGACGUCCUCGAGCAGGUCCACC
rnacentral:lncRNA from 1 species